UUUCAAGGGAUCUUGAUUGAACGGUCGGUAUCAUCAUUUGGGCUUGUUUGGCCUUUUUACUAAUCAGAACAAUAUCGCAAGAUUUAGCCUCAAUACGCACUUCUCCAAAACUUAAGAUAUCGGACAUGAUAUUCCUGAUAAAGAUGUUGGUCUUAUAUGAAAGAGAAGUUUGCUUGAAAUUCCUGCCUUCUUCAAGCGAUUGCAGGAAUUUAUUUUUGCUAUAGACGUCCUCCUCUAUUUUUUUCAUUGAAAGAAACACUUGAAGGUCCGUUGCAUGUUGCUUAAUGUUCAUAAUGUUUCUUUGCAUUCUGCUAUUUCCUUUUCUUUCUUUUUCUAAUGAUGACAAUAACUGACAAAUUCUCGAGUUUUCUUUUUCUUCUACUGCAUAUAGUUGUUUCAUUAAAUCCUCUUGUAGUUUGUCAAGAUGGUUGUUGAUCUUUAUUCUGGUUCUUUAUUUCUUUUUCAAUUUCCUUUCUACUUUCUUUAAAUGUCGUCAGAUUGUCCUGUUGAUGCUGACGAAUUUUCUGUAGAUUUUCUGCAACUUCAACUAAUGUUUCUCUAUUUCGCACAUGGCAUUGGAGGUUUUGACAUUGUGAAUGACGUCAUCUAAUUCGACGAAAUCUCGGCAUUCGUUAUGGCUUUCCACGAUACAUUUGCUGCAGCAGGGAAAUUCAUGCUUCUGGCAAUACAUUUGAUACUUUUUAUCAUGUUUGCUACAGUACUGAGAAAUUCUAAGUAUAUCAGUUGGUAAUUUCUGGUAAUCAGUAAUGGGUAUCACGCAAUGACUUCUCGACGACUUAGACAAUCUAUGAUGUUCGUUGCAUUCUGUACACAGGCCCUCGUCACAUUCUGUACACCAGACUAUGGAUGGUUUGGUGAUGUGACGGAGUUCACAAACACCACAGCUCUUAGUAGCUGUCGCCAUUAAACACAAACUACAAAUAACAAUAUCUGAUUUGAAAGUUAACAACAGCACCACCAUCAACCACCAACAUAAAAAGAAAUAAUGGCUUAAUUAAGUUUUGAAAUAGAAGUGCUGUGAGGUACUUCGGUUUCCUAUGCAGCUUGUGUAGAGUCCAGUGUCACAUAUUUUAAAUUGAUAAAAUCGACAUUUAACUUUUUAUAAUAGAUAGUGGAAAUGUUUAUCAAGAAAUUCAGUUUAGAUUUGUUUUAAAUACGAAGUUAAUCUUCAAUUAGUGUUGAUUUGAGACUAAUACUAGCCAGCUAUUUCCAUCAAUCAUCAUAUUGAAAGUAUUAGUUAGAUUAUGUUCAUAUAUUUAUUGUUAAUCAAUUACAAAUAAAUAUAAUGAUCAACUUAUUACACCUCAAAACUUGCUCGCAUGUCACAGUACAAUUAAGCAGAACAAAUAUAUAAACUUUUUAAACAUAAAAAAAACUCAAUUUCGUUUUUUUGUAUUAUUACAAAAAAAGAAAGUAAAUAACAACUUGUAUUGGUUAGUAGGUACUUAUUUGUAUUUAUUUGUAUUUAUACACAAUAAAGAUAGAGAGUUACGGUUCUUGACAUUUUUUUUUUAUAGUUAUUAGAUGUUAAAACAAGGAUAGUACUAUACAAAUCCUUGGUUAAUACAAUUAAAAAAAAAAAAUAGAUAUGGGCAAGGAUUUGUAUAGUAAGAAGUCUUACUAUACAAAUCCUUUAUAUGGGCGAUGCCCCCCUCUUCUACCCUGCCAUAUGCAUGAGUAUAGUUCCACAUACUUUAGAUUUGAUGUUGAAGGACAACCUGAAAUUGCACCAUUGUCUGUUAGUCACGAAUGAUGCACCCACUUGAUCAUACGAAAUUAUACAUUUAAUACCUUUUAAGAGAAAGGAGAUGUUAAAUGAGUAAACUAACGUGAUUCGACUUCCUUUUUGUGUUUUGGGUUGUACAUUUGGUAUAAAUAUAUGAGAACCUUUAACAUGUUUAACUGUGUACUGACAUCAGUGAUACAUAUACCAAAUACAGUUUCGUUUCCUUUACCUGCUAAAUGAAUGGGCCCGUGAACAUGUAUAUAUGAAGUUCCAAUAAUUUGUUUAAUUACUGUACAAACUCGUGUAGAUAACAAAGAUAUUAUGAACGAAAACAAUAUCUUGACAUAGAAAUAGGCCAUAACAUAAAUUAUGAUAAAUAUAUAUUAUGGCCAAGCCCAGAACGAAAGUUAAAUAGCAAACAUUUACAAAUUUUAACGUAAUUAGGUCAUAAGUAUAUUAGCGAGAAUGGAAAUAAUAACUAAAGUAGAAUUAAUCUUUGAAAUAUCGAUAAAAUCCUAAAAAUUACCUUUUAGUUUGAAAUAUUCAUUCCCUGUCUGGUUUCCAAGGAAGAUUAUUAAUCACAUGACUGAUUUAAAAAGUUGAUAAAAGCCGGGAAUUUUAGAAUUUAAUCUACAUUUAUACAAGUACGAUAGGAUUGUACUAAACAUUAGUGUUUCUCGUAUCUCGUUUUUUAUAUAGAUUAGACUGUUGUUUUUCCUGUUUGAAUUGUUUUACACAAGUAAUUUUUGGGGCCCUUUAUAGCUUGCUGUUCUGUGUAAGCCAAGGCUCCGUGUUGAAGGCCGUACUUUGACCUAUAUGAUGGUUUACUUUUACAAAUUGUGACUUGGAUGGAGAGUUGUCUCAUUGGCACUCUUCUUUUACAUCUAUAAACCCUUAAUCAUUGUGGAUAUAUCUAGUUUUGCUUACAUUUCUGAAGCACAGGAGAACUUCAUCGUAUUAAAGGGGAGAAAUGUGUAGCUCGGCCUUUUGUUUUCUAUGUAGUGAAAACAUCCGUUACAUCAACCCUUUUAAUAAAUUUAAAAUAACAAAAAUACAUACCAUUCCAUGUGCAUAUGUUUUAUCAAAAAUUCAUAAGAGAUUCCACAGAACCCUAUGUCUCGCCUUCGAUGUCUGCUGUUAGUGUUAUGUUGACUUAAGAGUGAGUUCAUUAAUCAGUAAAAUACAGAAUCUAAAAAAAAUCAAUCGUUUUGUUAAGAUGCGGUUUUCGUCUUGAAGAUUAGCUUCUGUCCAAGUUUCUUAACAGUCAAUGAAGGUUUACAAAUGUAUCAUGUCAACGCAUUUAAUCCCAGACAGUGAGACUGUAUGUAAAUGUUAAAUGAAAAAAACGAAGCCCAUCUAUCAGAAAAAAUACUAAAAGGAUUUGCUUCAGACAUUAUCUCUUAAUCAUUAAAAUGUUAAAAAAAAAUCUAUAAAGGUUUGACAGAGCUGUAAAGAACUAAGUACAUUUAUAAGUUAAAUACGUGAAAUUUUGCUCUGGAUACUGUCUUUAUGUCAUAAAAAGUAAAGUAUAGAAAAUACCGAACUCCGAGGAAAAUUCAAAACGGAAAGUCCAUAAUCAAAAUCAAAAGCUCAAACACAACAAAUGAAUGGAUAACAACUGUCAUAUUCCUGACUUUGUACAGCUUCAAAUUUUAUAAACUUCCAUGAAUGUUUGACAAAGGUAUUAAUGACCGAAAAACUUUAACCCAGACUAAAUCUGAACGGUAACUGUAUAACAAACUAUGUCCAUUUAUCAGAAAAAAACCGCUAAAAAACCCCCCACCUAAAUGCCUAAAUGUUGACGCCGUCAAUGGAAUCUAGAAUCGAUAUGUCUCCCUUUUUUGUUAGUUUGUUAUUAAUUUGGGAACUAUAAGAGAUAAGAAGAUAGUGAGAACAGUGAAUAUGAUCAGCAAGAAGAUUGAAUUAUACUAGGAACUAUUGAUAUAAUGAUUUAUUUGAAAGAAUAGAUUCUGCAUUUUUUUUAACUUAAAAUUUUUACUAGUCCAAGGAAAUUUAAGCUACUUUUCCACCUUGGAAAAAAAAAAAAUGGAUAGGCACUAGAACUCAAAAUUAGUAGAGGAACACUUUGGGUGCACGAUUUAGAUUUUUAACUAACAAAUAUCGGCACCAAUUAUUUUUCUUGUGAUGUGGCUAAGGGUAUUUAUAUAUAUAUUGGUCAAAAUGAGUUAUAGAAUUGGGAAACUGACCCGGACAUGAGAACAUAUUAAAUUAAGAAGAACUAUACUAUGAUGUUUUAUUCAUCUGAUGUAGUGUCUGUGAUUGUGUAUAUGCCUCUUUUAAUAGAGGAAAAUUAUUACAUAAAUUCUCGAAUCUAUACCAGUACAAUUACAUUCCUUUAAUAAUAUCAAAAUAUAUUGGAAAUCUUCCAAGACUGCAGCAUUUGUUGUUUUCUUGUAUACCCAAAGUAUCCUUACCUUAACCUUAACCUUAAUUCUAUCCGUUCCAGAAGUCGCAUAAGGCCUCAAAUGACUGUGUGAUGCGCACCUGUAUGUGUGUUGUUGUGUCUGUGCUUGUCACUCUCGCUUUCAGCAUUCAUCACUGGCUAGCAGCUUGCUGUGAAAAGGAGAACCGAGUGUGUGUAAGUCUUUCCUGCCAGUUACAGCCUCUCAUGCAGUAAGACAUAUGUGGCCCAGAUAUGGGAUCCUCCACGAGGUGAUAGAUGGAAACUGGUCGCCUCAUGGCCCCAGGCAAAACCACAAAGUCUCGGAGGAGGUUUGGCCCCUAGAUGCAAAGCAUGCUAAGCCCACCGGUGAGUGGAUAUGCCCUGGUGCCUGCAAACCAAACCCCCAGCUAUCGGUAAAUAGCCCCACUGCCUUGUGGGUGACCGUGGAAGUCAAAGGCUAUGGGAGACAACCCAGAAAGAAAUCCGGACAGAUGUAAUCCGUUAGCAGGGUAAUUCAAUCAUCUACGGGAAGGACUACCCAGAGAGCAAACCCGGUCCACCGGAGCGGAGGUUGGACGUUGGGCUAACAACCCAGCUCUGUAAAAAAGAGCUUGUUACAGAAACCCAAAGUAUAGAUUUACAAAAUUUUAUAUGAAGUUUCUCACAUGGUAAACCUGAAUAUAAUUUUACAAAAAGAUAUAUCUUCCUUUUAACAUUUAGAGGAAAGAGAAUUAAACAUCCCCAAUAUUUCGCUACCAUAUAAUAAAAUUUGUUUUACAGUGUGGACAAAACAUCAAUACUUGUUUUUAUGUUAGAAUUAAGUGAUAAAAGAUCUUUCCUUAAUUUAGAAUAAGCUUUCAGGGAUUUCUUGUAUAGUUAUUUUGUAUUUUUUUAUUUGUAUCUUGAAACAAAUUCCAGAUUUAUAUUCUGAAAUGUGAAUAUUUGUUUUACAUGUCUGCCUGUUUUGUUGAAAAUCAGAACCUUUGUCUUAUUAGUGUUCACAUUGAGACACCAAUCUUUGCAAAAUUUAUCAAGUAUUCUCAGCUUUUCUUGUAGUCCUUCGGCUGAUGUAGAUAAUAAAACAAUAUCAUCGGCAUACAUUAAACAAUGUAGAUCUUUGUCAUUGACAUUAAUUGGAUCUCUAGUCUCUGACAAAUAUCUGGGCAAAUCAUUUAUGAAUAUCUUGAAUAAAUCAGGACUGAGAAUGUCACCUUGUUUCACUCCGAUAUCUAAUGGGAACAAAUCACUUACUUGAUUUUUAAUUUUGACACAUGAUUUGGUUAUUUCAUACAUACUCUUAACAAUGUUAUAGAAAUAAGAUCCAACCCCAAUAUCUAGUAGUUUAAUUUUGAUCCCUGUAUGUAUAACAGUAUCAAAAGCCUUCUGAAAAUCAACAAAACAGGCAAACAGUCUCUUUUUUUUGAAUUACAGUAUUUGUUAAUAAAAAGACAGUUUAAAAUAAACAUAUGAUCUGCAGUUCUGGCUUUCCUUGUGAAUCCAAUAUGACUAUCAUGCAUAAUAUUAUGUUCCUGGAGAAAUUUGUCCAGUCUUAGACUUAAAAAAUAAAAAUUCUAUUAAAAAGCUAUCCAAUUGCACUUGUUAUUGUUAUUCCUCUAUAAUUGUUAGGGUCACUUGUAUUGUUGCAUUCAAAGAUUGGUUUAAUAUAACCUUCAGCCCAUGAUGUUGGGUAUAUACCUGAAGACAGACAAGUAUUUAACAUCUGUUGAAAACUUUUUAAAAGAAAUGUCUGCCGAUUCUUUAUCAUGUUAUUACUAAUGUUAUCCAAGCCUGAUGAUUUAUUGCAUUUUAAGUGUGAAAUGACUUUGGAUAUUUCAGACUCUGUGAUAGCUGAGUCCAACUCGUUGAUACAUUUUGAGUUUUCUAACUGUUUCAGUUUUUCACAUAGCUCUGUAUAUCUACUUUGAAAUUCACCUUUCAGUUGUGACAACUUUUUGGAAAUGUGAUUUCAAAAUUGAUAGUGGUACUCCGCAUUUUUUUUUGUGUUUCGUGUUUUUCCUGUAGUUCAUUAAUCAAGUUCCAAUACAGUGUUGAAUUCUCCUCGUGCAAGGAGUCCAGCUGACUAAUCAAUAAACUAUAUAUACGCUGGUAUUUGUACAGUAAUGUUGUUUUUCUUAGACAAUGAACAGGGAACCAGACCAAGGGUACCUAUAUCCACUGUGAUGACAUGUACACUAGUAUCCUUCAUUAAUUUGAUGGUCCAAAAUCCAUAACUUUGGAAUGACAGGUCAAAAAUUUUCAAAAUCUAAUGGUAUCUGACUUUCACUAAGUUUAACAAUAAUGAUUCAGAACACAAACAAAGAAGAUAAAUCAACAAGACAGGAAAUAUGUGGUUUGCUUUGACCCGUUCCGUUCCACAAAAACCAAUAGUCAUCCGGAAAAUGGAACAAAACGUAAUGAAACGGAAUUGUUUAGAUUGUUUGCAUAAUAAUGUUGAGGAUUUAACAGCAACCAGUUCCUCCUUCUGUGCACCCGUAUUUUACAAAAUUCAUUAAAAAAAACCGAUGGGCUGAUUUUUAUAAAAUUACACAGAGAACUGUUUUGAGACAACCUAGUAUUAGUUAAUUUUGUUGCAAGAGGGUCUGAAAUAAUUAAAUUACUGUUAACCAAAUGAUUAUCAUUCAGUCAAUCAAGUUUAUGGUUUUUACAUCUAUGACAAUACAACCACCUCGCUGGUCUGAUGGUGGGGUUUUCGCCUCGAGUGCGGGGGGUCGUGGGUUAGAAUAGCACACGGGUCAAACUAUAAAAUUUAAAAUAAGUAUUUGCUGCUUCUGCCCUUAGCACGAAGCUUUUGAAGCUAACAGCAACGUCAGCGCGGAUUCAGAACUAUGUGUUCGGGAUUCGUGACAUAUCCACAGAUAUAAAAAAUUCCGAAAAGAACUGUUGAAAGUAAAAAAUUCUGGGUAAUUUGACCAUAUAUUGGUAUAAACAUUUUUUCUUAACGAGGAUAGAAUUACAUUUAAUUGGUUUUACAAUGGAAUGUAACUUUAUCGAACUUCAGAUAAAGGAUACAAUAGAUACGAAUUAGUCUUCCCACAAAAUUGAAAAUGGAAAUGGGAAAUGUGUAAAAGAGACAACAACCCGACCAAAGAGCAGAAAACAGUCGAAGGCCACCAAUCACUCUCAUACCUUAUUACAUCUAGAAAUUAUCAAUGAGAGUCUGUUGACAACAACAACACUUAUCGACAAGAGAGAUGAUUUCAUCUUCCCAAUUGUGGACCUUCCAUUUUUAUGCAGCCACAUUCCAGCAGCGCCUGCAUACGGAGUGUAUAUCUCCAAAUUGAUACGCUAUUUCAAGGCGUGUAUUAGGUUUGUACUAACACGAGCGACACGAAGGCUGUCACAUGUAGAGCACAUCCUGUUUACCCUUGUGGAGCACCUGGGAUUACCCAAAGUUUUUGGUGGGUUUUGUGUUGCUCGGUCUUUAGUUUUCUGUGUUUUAUUCAUUGUUGUUUGUCUGUUUGUCUUUUUCUGUUUUUAUAUAUAUAUAUCGUUGUCAGCUUGUUUUUGACUUAUGAGUUUGAUUGUCCCUUCGGUAUUUUUCUCCGCUCUUAUCUUAUAUUUGAUAUUAUCAGUAAAAGCAACCAUGAUUGAAUACCAAUCGUCAACAAAUUUUCACAAACUAACUGACCAUUCAUUUCAACUUUAGCUUAAAAUGGUUCAGUAGUUUCAGAGAUGAAAAUCCCAAUUUCACACAUGCAAAUAAAUACUGGUCAAAACCAACUCUCCGGUUCAGCCACACAUAUGAGAGUAUAGGAAACCAUGGUUUCAUAUAAACAGGUAAUGUUAUUCCAAUUGGUAACAGUAACUUUCAGUAUUUUUGAUAAGUUGUAAUGUUUUAUUUGACUUUUAUUACAUGUUGUCGUUAUCAUUGAUUUUGUUACUAUUUAUAUUAACUGAUUUUACAAUUCCAUGUGCCUAUUGUUGUUCCAUUUGUCUAAUCUCGCUACAUAUGCAUGUGCCUGUCUUUAGUAAGGAAGUAUUUCAGUGGUUGUAUUUUGUCAUGUAUAAUAUUUUUUUUUUUAUCUGGAGCAUUUGGCGCUGGUGGUAGUUCAUUGGUAAAAUCAAUAAUCUAUUACCUUUAGCUUCUACCAACUACGGCAUCUCCUUGUUUUAUUUACAUUGAAUGUAUUUCAUGGCAACUUCUGUUUCUUACUCUUGAUAAUUUGAUUUUAAGUCUUGUCGUGAUUAGAGGUAGGUAUGUGAAAAUGAACUUUGUUAAUCUAUAUGAAUAUUAGUGAUUCCAUACCAUUUAAUUCAUAAGAAUGGCAAUACAUAAAUCAACUAUUAUAAGCUUAAUAACUAUAUGUAAUUGACGCAUAAUUCUAUUUACAACACAGACUAUAUAUUAUAUCUUUGCCAGAACGUUACAAAAAAGUUGUUCUAAAUCAUGUUUUAUGAAUACUGCACAGAUUGACAUAAGCGGAGAGAAUUUUUAACUGUAUAUUUGUUUAAACUGCACCAAACAAAUAUGCAGUGUUAUUGCAGUUCGUAACCAGCAACUGAUUCGUUGUUCUACUAUAAUGAAGUGAAAAAGGAAAAUUAAGACCAUCCCAGAGCAGAUAACUACAACAUUGUUCGAUUCGCUCCCUACCACAUUCACAUUACCAUCACUGUCUGCAUCAAUGCCACGAGGACUCUGAAGAAUGUUCUUUUUUUGGUAUAUCCAUUUUAUUUCACCUUGUAGAUUAUAACAUGUCACAGUGCUUGUUUCAUUAUUUGUAUGUUAUAUGUUGUCCCUUAAUGUUGCAAUGUAACAUUGACUGGGCAUUAUGUCUCGGACUAUGUCACUUAUAGACUCGAUGUUUAUAUAGAUCAUUCGUAUACCUCUGUCGUUACCAGAAUAAAUUAAACGGUUAUCUUUCAAUGCAAUUCCAUAACUGUUCGAAUUUAGUAAAAUUGUUUUCUUGAUUUGUUUAUUCUCCAAGUCAAUAAUUGUAAUACAUUGUUCCCUCGAACUACCAGAUGUAACAGCCAAUGUAUUGUCCUUUCUGUUGUACACUAUAUCGAACGCGUUACAGGGCAUCUUCAGUUCAAAGUUUUUUUAAUCCUUUCAUGUAAAAUACAGUUACCUUACACUCCGAGUAGGAAGUAAAUGCCAUUCUACCAUCUGGCAACAUGCAACAUCCGUAGAUUGAGUUUCCUUGAGUCGUGAUGGUCUGUUCUUUUGUUAACCUAAUAUUUUCAAUGGAUCUUGAUUGAACAGUCGGUACCAUCAUUUGGGCUUGUUAGGCCUUUUUCCUAGUCAGAACUAUAUCGCAAGAUUUAGCCUCAGUACGCACUUCUUCAAAACUUAUGAUAUCGGACAUGAUAUUCUCGAUAGAGGUGUUGAUCUUAUAUGAAAGAGAAGUUUGAUUGAAAUUUCUGCCUUCUUCAAGCGACUGAAGGAAUUGAUUUUUGUUAAGGACGUACUAUUUGCUUCAUUGAAAGAAAGACUUGAAGGUCCGUUGCAUGUUGCUUGAUGUUCAUAAUGUUUCUCUGUCAUUUUGCUAUUUCUGUUUCCUUCUUUUCUAAUGUUUACAAAAGCUGACAAAUUUUGGAGUUUUCUUUUUCCUCUUCCGCAUAGAUUUUUUUAAUUAAAUCUUCUUGUAGCUUGUCGAUAUGGUUGUUGAUCUUUAUUCUGGUAUUCUUUAUUUCUGUUUCUAUACCAUUUCUACUUUCUUUGAAUUUUGCCAGAUUGUCCUGUUGAUUUUGGCGAAUUUUUCUGUAGAUUUUCUGCUAGUACUUCAACUAAUGUUUCCUCUAUUUCGCACAUGGCAUUGGAGGUUUUGACAUUGUGAAUAACGUCAUAUAAUUCGACUAAAUCUCGGCAUUCUUUAUGGUUUCCCACGACACAUUUGCCGCAGCAGGGAAAUUGAUGCUUUUGGCAAUACAUUUGAUACUCUUUAUCAUGUUUAGUACAGUACUGAGUAAUUUUGAGUAUAUCAGCUGGUAAUUUCUGAUAUUCAUUAAAAGGUAUCAAGGUUUAACAAGCUGUGAUGUUCUUUUCAUUCUGUACAUAAUCCCUCGUCACAUUCUGUACACCAGACUAUGUGUGCUUUGGUGAUUUGACGAAUGCCACAAAAACCACAGCUCUGAGAUGAUGUUGCCAUUAAACACUACAAGUAACAAUACCUGAUUUAAAGGUUUUAAACAACAACACCCAAUCACCAUCACACAUCUAACGUGGUGACUUAAUUUAGUUUACUGUCGAAAUACGUGUUUCUCUUUGGGUACUCCGGUUUCCUUUAUCAAUUAAAACAGGUUUGAAUCAUAAUAUAGUCAUGCGUAAUGUGGCAUCAAAAACCAAUAGUCAAUCAAUCAGUCAAUACAAUAUUUAUUUAAAAUUCGGAAUUAUGCUCAUCUAUCUCAUUCUUCUGUUAUCUUAUAGUUCGUUUCUGUGUGUGUUGCAAUGCCGUUUUUUUUUUGCACUUUGGUAUUUCUGUUGUUUUGUGGUUUUCCUCUUAUAUUUGAUGUAUUUCCCUCAGUUUUAGUUUGUAGCCCGGAUUUGUUUUCCUUCAAUCGAUUUAUAACUUUCGAACAGCGGCAUACUACUGUUGCCUUUAUAUAUCAUCGCUCAAAAUGAAAAUGAAAAUAAAAUCAAUUAAUUGCAAGUUGUGUAGCAUCCAGUGUCACAUAUUUGAUAGUACCAGGAUUAUAAUUUUAUACGCCAGACGCGCGUUUCGUCUACAUAAGACUCAUCAGUGACGCUCAUAUCAAAAUAGUUAAAAAGCCAAAAAAAUACAAAGUUGAAGAGCAUUGAGGACACAAAAUUUCCAAAAGUUGUGCCAAAUACGGCUAAGGUAAUCUACUCCUGGGGUAAGAAAAUCCUUAGUUUUUUGAAAAAUUCAAAAGUUUUGUAAACAGAAAAAUUAUAAAAAUGACCAUAUAAUUGAUAUUCAUGUCAACACCGAAGUGCUGACUACUGGGCUGGUGAUACCCUCGGGGACGAAACGUCCACCAGCAGGGGCAUCGACCCAGUGGUGUAAAUAGUUAUCAAAAGUACCAGGAUUAUAAUUUUAUACGCCUGACGCGCGUUUCGUCUACAUAAGACUCAUCAGUGACGCUCAGAUCAAAAUAGUUAAAAAGCCAAACAAAUACAAAGUUGAAGAGCAUUGAGGACACAAAAUUGAGGACCCAAAAUUUGAAAUUAAUAAAAUCGGGCAUUUAACUUUUUAUAAAAGAUAGUCGAAAUGUAUAUAAAGAAAUUAAUCUAGAUUUGAUUUAGAUAUAAAGUUUAGUAUAUUAGGGUCACAGAUACAGCGAUUGUUCGUUUGAAACAUUUAUCGUAAUGGGUAAGCAACCACAACAGUUUAGUUUUGAUUUUAGACUGAUACAAGCCAGCUAUUUUCAUCAUUUAUGUGAUUAGAAUUGGAUAAUAGUGAUAUAUUUAAUCAAUUACAAAUAAAUAUACUGAUAAACCUUUUACAUCGCCACACUUAAUAAUUGCAUGUUACAUAUAGGGGUGGUUUUGCAAAAGGUUAUUAGGUUCUUAUGUUACAGGACAAAGAUAUCUUAAAAAAAGUAACCUUGCUGUAGUAAACAAAUACAUUAAUUAUUGAAUCGUAUAUACCUAUAUGGAGUUAUUUUCUUUCAUACCGAUAGGUCAUUCUUUCGAAGAAUCAACCCGGACGAUACCAUGUUUCAAAAAAAAUAUGGCUCAAGGCAUAUAAUUAACUUCAACAUUUAAUUCGUUUGAUAGUUUGUUGUUGUCAAUUGUGGAAUUUAUUUGUUAAAGUUCCAUCUUUGAUAGAUUUAACACAAAAUCGCCAUUGACGCGAAUUUAAACUUUCAAAAAAAAUAAUGUGAAUUUUUGCUAAUUUAUCGCUACAGUAAAAGGAUAUAAUCAUAUAUGUGAGAUGAACAUCUUAUUGAUUCCAUUGAAUAGUAUCAUACUGUGACCUACAUGCAUUGAUAUUCGUUUUCGUGUUACACGUACAUGCAUCACGAGUUCCUACUCCGUACAUUUCGUCUAUAUUUUACUUUUUACUCUGUCAAAUGAUCAACAGAUAAAAUUUCUUAUAAUUCUAUUGAAUAACAGCCACGUAUCUCACAAUGGGGGUCGGGGAGUAUAGAAUUAAAUUAAAAAUUCAUUGCGAAAGGUGAAUUCAUGGUGUGUGCCCGACCCCCUUUUUUGUGAGAAAACCCUCUUAGGAAUUCAGUAUCCACCCUUUUACGAAAACUACACAUAGAAAAAACCCAUAGGACCCCUUUCCAUAAACUGUGUCGGUACAACAAAUUAUACUUACAAAGUGAGUUGUAUUCAUUUGUGUCUUACUUCCUGCAGUUACAGUAAUAACUUAAUUGAAUUUAGAUAAUACUGAUUUCAAACGUUUACAUUUAAAUUAAUUAGUGAGCUUUUAUUUAAUAGUUAUCCCACGAUGACGCGGUGUGUCAGUGUAAGAUCACCCCGAUGGCCGGAGGCCAGAGGGUGAUCUAACACUGACACACCAAGUCCGAGUGGGAUAACUAUUUUACAUCCCAGCUGUUUUAGAUUAGACGAAAAACCAUUUACAAUUCAUAAAAUCGAGUUAAGAACGCCUCACAACCAUUAUAAUAUACUUUAUACAUUACUAUAUGAUUUAUACCCUUUUUGACCCCCGAACACGAUGAGCAGAUAUCAAAUAAUGUCAACUCGCCCCACUGGCAAAUCGGCCCAACCUAUAUCGCCACUUUAUAAAAAAUAAUCGACCCACUCUUGUUUACCGACUCGCCCCACUUUUGAAGAAGUGUAAAAUCAAACUAAACAAUCACUGACAACUCACUUAUUAACGAAAAGGGUUUAAACCCCACUGAAAAAAGGUCUGACAACUCGCCCCACUUAUAAAAAUAUCUUGCUUCCUUUAAGUAUGUUAAAUUACUGACAGUUUGUAUCCAGUCGUCCUGGUGUAUUGGUUGUGUCGUGGCUUGAUAUGCUUAAGGUCUAGAGUUCGAAUCCUAGCAUAUACACUGGAUUUUUUCUACGUGAAUUUUGAUAGAUAGUCAUUUCCGUAUAAUUGUAUAUUUAAUUAUAAGUUUUAUAGUAGAUUUGACAUUCCCGCCAAAAUGUUACAGAACAAAGGAAAGCAUGCAUAGCAAAGAAACUCAAACUGGGGUGAUCUGGUAGGGGUGAUCCGGCUCAGAUCACCCCUGUUAGAACAAAGGAACUGGGAUGUAAUUCACAUGCUCACAUUCUUAAUGAGCCGUAGGAAGUAUUAAAACAUGAACGGAUCAGAAAGGAAUUUCUCACUAGUGCGAUCGGUAGACAAUAAUAUCUUUUUGACGGUAUAUAAGUCAGCUAAUGCAUAUUUUAGGGUUUUUACUUUAGUCGGGGUGUCAUGAUUGCCCAAUGAAGACCUCACUACGGUCGAUUCCACUGCUGGUGGACGUUUCGUCACCGAGGGUAUCACCAGCCCAGUAGUCAGCACUUCGGUGUUGACAUGAAUAUCAAUUAUAUAGUCAUUUAAAUAAAUUUCCUGUUGACAAAACUUUAGAUUUUUGAGAAAACCAAGGAUUUUCUUAUCCCAGGAAUAGAUUACGUUAACCGUAUUUGGCACAACUUUUUGGAAUUUCGGGUCCUCAAUGCUCUUCAACUUUUGUACUUGUUUGGCUUUAUAACCAUUUUAAUCUGAGCGUCACUGAUGAGUCCUAUGUAGACGAAACGCGCGUCUGGCGUAUUUAAUUAUAAUCCUGGUACCUUUGAUAACUAUUUACACCACUGGGUCGAUGCACUGCUGGUGGACGUUUCGUCCCCGAGGGUAUCACCAGCCCAGUAGUCAGCACUACGGUGUUGACAUGAAUAUCAAUUAUAUGCUCAUUUUUAUAGAUUUCUGUUGACAAAACUAAAGAUUUUUCGAUGAAAACAAGGAUAUUCUUAUUCCAAGAAUAGAUUACCUUAGCCGUAUUUGGCACAACUUUUUGGAAUUUCGGGUCCUCAAUGCCCUUCAACUUGGUACUUGUUUGGCUUAAUAACUAUUUUGAUCUGAGCGUCACUGAUGAGUAUUAUGUAGACGAAACGCGCGUCUGGCGCAUCAAAUUAUAAUCCUGGUACCUUUGAUAACUACUGACACCCCUCGGUGUGUUCUACGACAAGAUAAACCUUAAAUAUGCAUUAUCUAUAACAUAGUCAUGCAUUAAAACACUUUUAUUUUUCUUUUUGUCUAUUACGUAAUAGACAAAAACAAUUCUUAUGUACUAGUAGUAUAUGUACACAUUAAACAUGGGUUUACGGUUAUUUGCAUUAUUUUGUAGCUAUUUAUAUUAUGUUAAACUAAUUAAAAUACCAUUUGAUCAGAAAGGAUAUGUUAAAUGGUUAUACAUCUGUGAUUUGGACUUCCUUAUUUGGAGCUAUUCUUUUUGUUUUCAGUGCUAAACAUAUGAGAAUAUGUACCUGUAUAUCGAUAGCAAAGAUGCAUAUACGAUUAAAAGGGGGGCGAGAAAUAGCAAGGUAUCUUCAAAACGAUAAAAAGUGGAACGGGAAAUAGCAAGGUCUUAUCAACACGAUUAACAGGGGGAGAUACCGCAACUUUCGAAAAGUGAUUUUCCCGAGAUCUAUGGAUACAUAGACUCCAGUCAGUUGUUAUUCGAUUUUUUUACAUAGGGAGGAAGGGGCUUAUAUGUCAUGACUACAGACGGCAACACAUUACUAAGCAUCGAGUCCUGAAUAAUAUGCAUGAACUGUGUGCCACUGAACAUUAAGCGAACAACAACCAAUCAAUAUAAAACAUUCUAUAGAGGCACCGGUGUAUGGAUUAUCAUUCAAAUAAAUGUACUUUACAUUUUAACAUAUACUAAAACAACGUAUGCUUAUUCUGCUUUACAAGUAUAGAACAAUAAUCUGUGAAUAUUGUGAACUUAAAUAUGAAACUCCUCAACAUAAAAAUGAAAUAUUUAUGUGUUUUAUAUCGGAAUUGCAUUGCUAUAUGUACUAAGCAUGUUCAACGUACGUUCAAUAAAACGAUAUAUGCUUAUUCUCCUUUAACAAUACACAAUUACAGUUUACAUGGUGAACUUUGGAUAAGCCCCAGAAAAAGUUUAUACUUAGUACAGUUUGAAAUACAUCUAUAUAUGUUGUGUACAGUAUACUAUCAAUACAAUAGUUCCCUUUCAUGUAACAUUUUCAGUAAACUUUGAGUAUUUUAGACAAAGAGCGCCACACACACAAGGUUUAUAUAUCGAUACAACCACGAAAGAGGGUCACUGCAUCAGCUAGGGCUUCAAAAGGAGAUGGAUUACAGAAUAGAGAAUGUUGGGCUCAAAAUAUAGAAUAAAUUGACGAAAAAAUAGAGAAUAGUUAAAAAUGAGGUUCUUAAAUAUAAUUAGGCACAAUUAGAAUAAAAAUAGAAUAGAGAAAAAUGGUCUAAAGAACAAAAGCUCCCCUCGUGACCUCAGACCCUUAUAUCUUAAAAAUCAUCCAAGGUACGAUCAAUAUGUUUUGACUGCACACUACCAGACAGGGGAGUUGCACGCAUAUCAUGGUUGCAACAUGUUAAUUCAUUUAUUUUGUUCGUGUACUAAUAAACCUUAAAUAAUUCCAAGCGGGAUACGAUAUUUGUUUGUUUUCCUCACACCUCUGUUUCUAUCGUAGAUAACGGCGUAAAAUGAAAUUACAAAAAGGCUGCAUAUAUCAUUUUAUUUGAAUACUGUCUCACAAAUGUAAUAUUUUAAUCGUUAUCUCAAAGUUAAUACCACAAAAUGAAGUGCAGUCUUGUUAUAUUUUAAUCAAAUCAAUAUGACUGUUUUAGUAUAAGUUUAAAAAGACCGUCAACAGCACGAUAGACUACACCAAUAUGACCGAGAUAAAAGACUAAGACGUUCUUACUGUGGUUAAUAAACUCGUGCAUUUUUGACAGGUGCGAAUCCAGUAUUUGAUGUUUGAGGGGUCGGCGCCUCUAAGAAUUAGGAAAUAUAUUGAAUGCUAUAUUCAUGUUACUUUUACUAGAAAUUAUAUUUCCAUUAUUGUAUUGGGGGAGGGGGAGGGUGGUACUCAUCUGAAUCAAAGCCUGCAUUAUAAUGUAUUAAAUUUCCAGUACUAAUAAAGUAAAAUUAAGAAAUUUGAUUCGCUGAUGUUUCCCUGUAAUAGUGUUCUGUGGGUAGGUUCUUAACUUGAAGUAAGAUGUCAGACUUUGAACCGCAUUGAUGGCAUCACUGUGACAUUGAGAUCAAGAAAGCAAUUGUUUUAUUUUUGUGUGUGUAAAAACUUUAAAUAUUUUUACCUAUGAAAUGUGUUGUUUCUAUAUAAAUUUUGACCCACUGUUAUUAUUUUCCAUUAGUGCGGGUCAAAAUCUAUAAAGACUGUCGUAUGGAUAAGAUAAGACGACACAUUAAAUAAGUGAAAAAGGUACCAGAAAUCAUGAAAUAUUCACAAAAAGAAUUUUACCUUGACCAUUAUUUCUGUCCGUUAGUCAAAUAUUUCUAAACUGUUUGUAAUUUAUACGUGUUCCUGAGGUUCAAUUAAUAACUCAAGUCCACGAACAUUUAUAAAGUAUAUUUCCAAUGAAAGGUAUGACAACUGCUUUCGACAAAUCACAACAACAAUAAUUGUUGAAGUAUCAUCAUGUUUGGUUUUUUCAGUGACCCUUGCAAAAAUUGUUGUCUUGUUCAUUGAAAACAAAAUAAUUUCCGAUAUCAAGUCGUCAUUGUCAUCGUCACAGUCAUCGUCAUUUUUUUGUCGUCGUCGUCGUUGUCAUCAUCGUCGUCGUCGCGAUGUCGAUUUCAUCAUCGUCACGACGUCCACUUCAUCAUUAUCACCUGAAACCGUUGUUCUAUAAAGAAUAUUAUUGGUUUCCAUUUAAACCGAUGUUGUUGUUUUUAAUAAUGAUAAGUAUUAACCUAUACUCGUGAAUACAAAUCUUCAAAUUUUAAGUAUAAAACAAUCCAUAUAAAAUGGUUUUCAGUCAUUCCACUUUUGCUUAAUUUGUUUUUGGUCAAUAUAUCGGAGGUAAUGGCGGAUUGUGCGUUUCUCGAAUGGAAUUAUCAUCUUUGCCCUCAGCACUUUACAUGAUGUCAACAUGAUGGGGAGUGCGGGAGAUUCUUCUUACCCUUUUUACAGGACUAUUUGAUUUUGUCUUCGUACGGUUCUUACGCGCAAUGUGAUCUUUUGACGGUUUCUUUUCAAUAUAGGAAGGUUCGAGAUCGAAUCUGCGUUGAUUAUAAUAAAUUUUGACUGGUUUUAUUACUUUUUGGGUAUUAACCAUGGGUGGCAGCUCCCGUGUCAUUUUCAACAGCGAUGAAACAUAAUUUUUAUUAUAUUUGGCUUCCAGACAUGAUUGUGGCCUUUUCUUUAUUGCAUGACCUUCAAUCUUAAAUGAAUUUCUUCUGUGCUUUUCUGACUGGGAGUCGACGAUAUUCUAGGUAGCGGAGCACCACGUGGAAAUGACAGACGACAAUUACCUUCCGGUUUGAUUUGUUCAGUAGGAUUUUCAGAAACUACAACAGCAGCAGAUUUCUGAUCUUUAAGUUUUCCCCAAUCGGUUAUUAGACGAGUUUCCAGUGUUAGCUAUAGUCUCGUUACAAGAAAUCUCAUGAUUGGUUGAGUUUUCAACAAGGCAAUGAUUGUCAGACAUCUUGUGGUCAGGAUUUUUUUAAUUGUGUUGAAUUGUCAAUUUCAUGCGUCUCGAGACUCAGACUUUCUGGCUCGAUUCGUCUCUGAAUUGCAAAAAAUAGUGCCAAUUUCAAUAGACUUCGGACGACAAGGAAUUUCUUUGAGGUUCGUGGGUGGUUGUUUAAUAAGGUCGCUAGUCUUAUCUGAAUAUGAGGUCAGCGAACAUGGAUUUUCCAAUAUGUUUGAUUCAGCUUGAGGUAUUUUGAUUUUUGGUUUGUUUUGUUUGUUUGGUAAAGAAUCGAUAUCAACUACAACAGAAGUUGUAUUGCAAGAAGUUUCUAAUUUGGACGAUUCCUUCUGCGUAAACCUAUUGUCCCUGGCAAUGGGUUCUGAUUGAGCAGGACAUUUUGGCUAAGAUUUUCCGACGAAUGUUGUAAAUAGUUUGUUAUCUACAAUAGAAACAGGAUCAAAUGGACACUCUGUCUCUGUUUGCCUUUUCACUAUACAUUGCUCGUCGUUGAGGGUCUCUUCUGGUACCUUCUGUUUACAAUUAGCUUCGUCUGGAGCCGACAAAGAGCGACAAAUGUUUUUCGUUAUUGAUAUUUCUUUUUGCAAACAAGGGUCGGAGUCCUCCACGGAUUGCGCGUAACUUUCGUACGGGGUUAAUUUUCUGUUUACAAAAUAAUCAAUUAACUUCAAAACUAUUGGAAGCUGGUGACUUUUCCGAAUGUCCAGUUUUAGUUAAAUCACCAUCAGAUUUACAUAUCAAUCCGGAUUUUGAAACUUUAUAAGUCUUCCUGAUAAUAUUUGUUGAAAGUCUGCGACUUCGUGUAAGUAAUGACAGUGAUGAACGAGGUCUUAGAAUUUUUUGAGCUUCGUUUAUUCGGCUCAAUACUGGGACUCCUAACAUAUGCUUAAAAGGAAAAUCAUCUUUUCGUGUUUUGCUGAAGCGUUUUCGAAGGCAGCAGUACAGUUUGUUAAGACAUUCUUGUCUGCUUACUGGGAUGAACACGUUACAGUCCCUCUGUAUACAAUUUUGGAAUUUCUUUGCAAGGGAUUCAACGUCACUUUUACAAUUUUGAAGGUGAUUUAUUUAAGCCCGAUAGCGAGGACAAACUGCUGUCUUUCCUUGUCAACUCGACGAGCCUGUUUUCUCCCUGGUUCAUAAGUUCUAUUUCCUUGUUAAUGUCUUGAACAUUUUCCUCACUAAGAUUUUUCCAAUGCAAGAGAAGUCUGAAAUGAAUAACUCUAAAUCAAUAUUAUAGAAAAAUAAACGUAUUAAUCUGAAGAACCACGGUUAAUUUCAUUGUUCGUACCCCAAAAUGAAAAUAACGCCAAGUCAUUUUCCAAUGUUUAUGACAUUUUUAACCGAUCACGACGUUUUGGUGUGCACUUUUAAAAUUAUUAGUCGUAGAAGUCUAUGCCAUUUUUUCUCCGGGGGACACAUGUCUUUUUGGCAAUGGUACCACAUCGUCUUAUUUUUAUAUUAUAUAUUUAGGAUUAUAUAUGGGAAAUGUACUGCAAUUUUAUAUCAUUAGAAAGAAAAUUGCCGAUAUGAUUUUCAACCAUUCCUAGAUAUAGAUCUUGGAGUUUGCUUUCAGAUAAUCAAAAGAAAAACUGGGGGCCUCAGUUCUUAUUUUCUUGUUAGGUUUAUUUUUAGAGUAUUUCGAGUAUGCUAUUUCAAAAGACUAAACUAUAUAAAUGAUGUUCCCUUUAAAAAUCAAAGCGUACUAUUUUAUCAGUCGACCAAACAAGUUAUCAUCUUUUUAAAAAAGUGAUAACCACAAUACAAAUAAAAAAGACUCUUGAAUCGUCGUAAUAAAACCGCGUUCUUCUGUAAUUUCUAGUAAAUGAUGCCAUAUAUAUGGAGCAAGAUAUACUUACCUUUCCGGUUCAACAGAAAUCACAUCCGUGUGGAUUCGUGGAUUUAGUUUUCUAUGUCGUGUUUUGAAUAUUGUUGUUUGUAUUUUGGUCAUUUCCAAUUUAUCAUUUCUGACUUAUGAGUUUGAAAGCCGUUUUGGUAUCUUUCGCCUCUCUUCGGUAAAUUUUUAGACGCGGUGCUUUGCAUUGAUAUUAAAGAUAGUGGAUUACUCCCUGCCUUCUUUACAUAAAGUAACUUACUGAUACUCAAUUCUAGUUGGUUCUUCCACUCUUUUUUCGGUUUAGAGUUAGUGUUUGUGUUAGGGUAAGUUAAACUUAUUCUUUGAUUUAUAUAUAUGUUAACCCACAGAACCAAGUGAAAAAAUGCUGAAAUGUGUACUUACAUUUGUAAAACCUUCAAACAAGAAAGUUCUCAAAUUGACCAAAUGCACUUACCGCCGUAUUCACAGUCUUGUUGCACACGGUUUUGUGAAUAAUCGUGAGACAUAUUUAUUUAGGCUGGCAAAAAUCUACACACCGCUGUUUAUUAUGUUAAAAAUACGCGAAAUUACGUUAUGUACAGCAUGCGGAUAUUAGCGCGCUUUUCGUCUGCCUGUUACAUAAGACUGGUUCCCGAGUGUUUAUGAUAAGUUUGACAGUACUUUUGUUAAUAUUUGUAUAUUACGACGGUGUACUGAAUAUUUCACGAAGGUAGCUAACUUCCAGUUAGAUACACUUGUUACCUACAAAAAGAAACAAUAGAUAAUAUACAGACUUACCGGUAAAAAAACAACAAAAUCAAUUUUUCCGAAUUAUGAGGACUGUUUUUUCCGGAUUUUUUUUAAAUCUAUUUUUGCAUUUUUCUAUAAAUUGUCAAAUUGAAGCUAUCCAGUGAACAAUAAGACGCAUCAAGCAAGCAAAAAAUAAGACGUACCAAGCUGAGCUCCCAAGCUAGCAGAAAAUAAGAAUAUCAAGAUGGCUACCAAUUUAUAGCUAGGGACCAAUAAGAAAAAAAGCGCGUAAAAUUUGAUGACAAUAAUUCCCAGUAGGAAGACGAAAUAUAAUACAGUUCAUCAAAUACAACUUUAUUAUUUAUUUAUUUAUAGAAUCAAAUUGAGAAUGGAAAUGGAAAAUGUGUCAAAGAGAAAACAACCCGACCAUAGAAUAGACAACAGCAGAUGAUCACCAACAGGUCUUCAAUGCAGCGAAAUAGAAGCCAACAUAAUACUUUUAACCCUCUUGCUGCCGGAGGGACACAUAUGUCCAUGUUUUAAUUUAUGCAAGUUUCUCAUCAUUGCUGUAUUCUUUCAAAAUAAAAGACCGAACAUUAAAACAUGUUAUAUGUUUCUACAAUGGUUCUCAAACAGGAUUUUCAAGAGCUUAUUUCGUAAUUUUUGACGCUUUUUAGUAUUCUUUGCUUUGAAUCUUUCUUGAUUUUUCUGCAUAAAUAAUAAUGAAAUAAUUAUUAAAGAUAGAUUACACCCAGAGCUAUGGAUUACACCUAUUUCGUAGAACGACAAAAUAAAAUAAUUUUAUUUCUACGGUUUUAAAAAGAUAUAUAGAGAGAUUUUGGAACGUCAAGAAAAAUACCCAAUUUAAAAUUUGAAGCUUUUACCUGCUACAAUUUAAAAGUCUGCAUUUUUAUGUUUGUUAUACAUUACCAUUUUGAUGAUUAACAGAUAUACCAAAACUAGAUAAACAUAAAAUUGAAAAUGGAAAUGGGGAAUGUGUUAAAGAGACAACAACCCGACCAAAGACCAGAUAACAUCCGAAAGCCACCAAUGGGUCUUCAAAGCAGCGAGAAAUUCCCGCACUGUAGGCGUGCUUCAGCUGGCUCCUAAACAGCAUGUUAUUGAUAUUGAUUAGAAGUGACAAAAAGGGUUGAAUUACAAUUAAAAUUUAAAAUUUAGUUUUACACUGGAACGAUAAGAGGGAAACAGUCUGAUUGUCAAAAGAAUCGCGUUUAUCUUAAAUCGCAAUGUAAGCUGUGCAGUACAUGCAAGGCUUCAAAAGAGAUAAUAAUAAAAAGAUUGAUAUUAAUUUAAUAUUGGUAACUAAUCACGGUGCAGGAUCUGCUUACCCUUUUGCGCCUGAUACCAACCCCAGUUUUUUUUCAUGAGGUUCGUAUUGCACAGUCUUUAUUAUUCGAUGUUGUGUUUUUUUUUUUAUACUGAUGUCUUUUUUUUUGCCAUGGCUAUGUCAGUUUAUUUUUGUACUUAUGAGCUUGCAUUUCCAUUUGAUAUCAUUCGCCUUUCUUGAAUUGACACUGAAUUUCAAAAGACACAACGCUACAAAGAAAAGGGAUAGAAGGGGAUAAAAACAAAUGUUCUCUAACGUAACCCUUCAAUAAGAUAAGCAAUAAAAAAAAAUAUGUACCCUAGUCUCAAGUGAAAAGUACUGUUAUUGAUUGCUAUUGGAAAAGAUCUAGAAGGGUAUAUUUUCGGAAGGCCUUCAAUAUAGGUCCAAAAUUUGGGUCAGUGUUUAUCACGUGUCUGGUUAGGCCAAAACCUUAUAGCGACUAAGAUGAUUGUCCCGCCUUUUUAAUUUAUACGUGUUCAAAUCGUACCGUUCAAUGCUUUUUAUAUGACCUAAAAGUUUGACUCAACUUCAAAUUCAUUUUUUAUAAGUACAGUACCCAAACACAGGUGAAUAAAAUCAUAGCAAAAUUAGUACAGAUAUAUAAUAUAAAAACUUAAAUUCAGCAUUUCAGACGACUUAUUGAUUGAUAGCAUCACUAUCAUAAACAUAAUAUCUAAUAUAAAGAGGAAUAACUCUAUAAUCUUUCUUACACAGUGAAAGAUUUUAUGACAAAAACUAAUGUAACAAGUGUGGACACAGAUCAGUGUGGAUAGUAAUUGUCAAAUUAUUGUUAUACUAAUAGUAUGUUUGACAGUGGUUUCUCUGCAGAAACAUGUAUUCUGGUUGAGCAUCCACCAGAUGUUUUAUGAACAUUUUUCUAAUAGGGUUCUAUGUCAAACUGUGUUCCCGAUGAGCAAAAACUCAAAAUUUGCAUUAUGCAGGGUUCGACAUUUGGUUUUUUUUAAGGACAAGUGACCAUCAUAUAUAUCUUAUCAUAAAAGAUAUUCAAUGCAAUCUUUAACGUACAGCAUAAGUCUUAUAGACCUAUUUUUAUAUAUGAAGUCCUUGGUCCAUUUGGAGGAACUGAUGUAUUCCAACCUUUUAAAGUAUUUUGUAUGACAAAUGUUCAUACUCUAUCAAAUAAUGCUUACCAGACAUACACAUAUAGCUUCUUCCAACUCCUUUUUUCUUAAAUAACAAUUUUUACUCUCAGAUUUAAGGUUAUUUUCUUUAGAACCAUGAGUGAUGGAAAGGGAAUGCGAAAAUGGAAAUAUGAUUUGGGUCCAAUGACUAUCAAGGACACACAAUAACACAUAGAACAACACAGAAAACCAAAGACUCAGCCACACGAACCCCAUCAAAAACUGGGGGUGAUAUUAGGUUCUCCAGAAGGAUUAGCAGAUCCUGUUCCACAUAUGGCAUCCGUCGUGGUGCUAAUGUUAGUACAAACCCAGCGAUAAGUCUAAUUUGAGUAUAAUUUGAUACGUCAAAUACGAGAAAAAGGGGAUGACAUUUCGAAAUCUAUGUCUUGAUUUACGUUCAUAAUUGUUUUGAUUUUUUGAUUUUUAUGAGCAUACAGGCCUGUGGAUCGACUCGACCAAAGGGCAGAAAACAGCUCAUGGCCACCAUUGCGUCCAAAGUCAGUGGCUUCUAGUAUUUGUUAGUCUUGUAUGUUAUUUUUUAAAUUUUAGUUCAUUUAUCUAUCAGAAAAAUACGCAAGAGAAAAAUAUGUUUUCAAAUUGUGCUACAGACAUUAUUUACUUAUCAUAAAAAAGUUUCAAAACUGAAGACAAUAUUUUGGUCAUAGGCAAGCUCUCUCUAUAUUUCAUCUAUACAUGAAUUUUGCAAAAAUAAUGUGAAAUAUGUUUACUUUUCUGAAGACACAAAUCCUAGAAUAAAGGACGUUUUCUAAUGUGAAAGUUUGUCAUAAUCAGUGGCGGAUCCAGAAAUUUUCGUAAGAGAGGGCCCGCUCCAGUCACGCUUCAGUGAUUCCCUAUAUAAGCAACCAAUUUUUUUUCCCAAAAAGGGGGGGGGGCGGGCCCCCUGCCCUCCCUAAAUCCGCCUCUGAUAAUUAUUAAAGCUUUAUGUUUUUACAAAGCAAUAAAUAUCUUUAAUAUCUAUUUAUUACAGUUUAUACUUUAUUACCAAAGAUUAUAUAAACUAUAGGUACACAUUUGAAUUACAUCAGUCAUACAUAAAAUACAUACAUAAACACAAACUAUGUGACAGAAUAGCAGAAGGUGUUGUAAUUAUAAAUACAUACUAUAAUAACAUAUCGAUUCUAAGCUUAAAAGAUCUAAAUAUAAAUUAACCUAAAUUACACAGCUCUUCUACAUUGUUUGUACUUAUUAGUCUAAUAAAUUUAUCGAUGUUUUUUCCAAUAAUAUCGAUUAAUAUAAAAUGUUCGAAAAUCUUGAAAAAAUGGACAUUUGAGGGAGGAAAUCAAAGUCAUCCUCAAUAUCUUUAUUUUUGAAAAAUACAUAUUACAUAAAAUCUUCCAUUUUCUCUAGCUAAGUUGUUGCUACUUAAUCUUAUUUUUGUUAUACAUGUUUUGUAAACAUUUGGAAUUGGUUUGAUAAAUAAAAUAUUUAACAUGUAUUUAUAAUUAGAACAUAUUCGAGAAGUAUGCAACCAAGGAUUUGUAUACUAAUCUUACUAUACAAAUCCUUGAUGCAACUAAGCAUCAAAUUCUUGUUUUAGACAUUCAUACAAACGUUGCUUUAUGACAAUAAAAAUAUUCAUCAGGCUAGUCUGAAAAUAAGGUUUUGGAUAUACCAUACAACACCUAAACCAAUAAUAAACAGCUCAUUAUCUAUAAAAUAUAACCAGUUACAACUAUUAUUUGGACAUCUCUCUAAUUCGCAAUAUAAGCAGUUAUAACAGUUUUUCAAUAUACAGCUUGAAGCAUUCAGCAAUUUAAACCAAAAAUUGAAAAUCUUGCAUUUGCUUGUGAAGAAAAGAUAAAAUCUACCUCGUUCUUGAUAUAUCAUAACAUUGUCAGUAGACAAUUUAAAAUCAAGUUUAUUCUUACAUAUUCUACUUGCAUAACUCACUAAAGAAUUGAUAUAUGUGAUAACAAAGUGUCAUAGUUUAAGUCCAUUUUUUUACAUUUCUUCUUAAAGCAAUUAUUGCUUUUCUACCUUGGUCAAACAUUUCUGUUGUAACAUAUUAUAUUUACCAUUAUAAUUUAAAAGUUCAUCAAGGUAGGUAAAAUCAUCAACAAUUUCAUUGUUUUUACUUUGAUUAUACCAUUUCUCAUCAACAUGAACUCUGCCACCUUUUCUAUAAAAUACUACAAUUUCAAUUUUAUUAAUAUGUAUUGAUACACGAAAUGGAAACACAAGUAAUGAAUUAAAUUUUCAUAGAAUUAAUAUUUUGAAGGACAAUUAUUCCGUUAAAACUGAUUGAUUAUACGAAUAUGACAAAAAUGCUUACGGGCACUAACAAGACAGUUUGCAAGGUACAAUGUGACAUUAGUCAUUUAAAUAAUGUAGGAUGUCAUUACGAACUCAUCAAGACCAUCGCUUAUAUAAAGAUUUGCUAUGUAGACAAGAGAGUGCUUACAACACAAUUUUACAUAUAUUGAUUUAUUUCAGAGCGGUGAAACUACAGUAAAAAUAGAAGAUGGGUUCUAAUUUUCGACCAUGUAUAUACAUAACAGAUAACAUUUUUGUUAAAAUCUGGGGCCUAUGUGGUUGAGUGGUCCAAGUAUUUAAUCUACUUUGAGGUUGUGAGUUUGCAAACUGUCAGUGACAGGUGCGUUCGAUUCCGAUUGCAAGUGACUAUGAUUGUUAUAUUUCAUGCCGGAUGUCAGGAAACUUUCUUAACCAACAACAACUGACCACUGCGAUAUAGCAAAUAGUGCUAAACGUGGCCUUUAAUCCCAAAACCAAUAAAUCAAUCAAUCAAUCAUGCAAAUCAUUCUAGUAUUGGAGGUAAAUACAGCGCCAACCGUACCAAACAGUAGGUCGGACGGACGAAUUAUGGUCGAACACAGUGACGGAAUUAUUUAUAUUUUAUAUGUUCCACGCAUUGCGUUAUCUAAGGUACAAUUGUUAUAUCAGUUGAUAUAAAUGAAAAUAUAUUCUAAAAUGAUUUGAUGCUCUGUCGUGUUUCUUCAUUUCUUGACUUACUCAAUGUAUAAGCAUGCAUAUAAAAGUCAAUGUUAAAGGUUAACGACCAACAUCUAUUUUCUAAACUCUUGUUUCUGUAACAAAAAAGAACACGUUGAAAAUGUCUAUACUAUGAGCUUAACAACUACAUUUGAUUAAAUGCAUAAUUUUGUUUUACAAACACACUAAAAAAAUAUAUAUAACAGACGAAGUUGGUUUCUGAAUUCAUGUUCAUUUACAUAUUUCACAUUAUGACCGCAAGAGCAAAUAGUUUAAACUGUAUUAAAUUUUGUAACAUUGAACAAAUAAGCCGUGUUGUUGUUGUUGUUCGCAAUUAGCAACUGAUUGUUUGGUUCAUAAUAAUGGAGUGUAAUAGGCUUACUAAGAUCAUCAUCUGCUGCCUGUAAUUCUCUAUGCUGUUUUCCAUCAGUUGAGAUAACUAUUAAAUUUUGUGAUAUAUACCCCACCACGUACACAUUACCAUCACCAUCGACAUCAAUACCACGAGGAUCCUUCAGAACGCUUUCAUUGAAGAAUGUCCAUUGUAUUUCACCUUGUAGAUUAUAACAUGUCACGGUAUUUGUUUUAUUGUUUGUAUGAUAUAUGUUGUCUUUAAAAGUUGCCAAGUAACAUCGAGCGGCUGUUUGGCAAGGUAAUCUAUCUGUAAUGAUGGACUCAUCGUUUAAAUGUAUCAUGUGUAUACCUUUUUCCAAACCGGAAUAAAUCAAUUGGUUAUCUUUCAAUGCUAUUCCAUAAUUGUACGAAUCUAGUGGAAUGCUUUUCAUUAUGUUUUUGCUCACAAGAUCUAUAAUGUAAAUGCAUUUAUUCUGCGAAGCACCAGAUGUACCUGCCAAUGUAUUGUUCUGAUUGAUAUAUACUAUAUCAAAUACUGCACUUGGCAUGUCAAUCUCAAAUUCUUUUAAGCCUUUACUGUUCAACACUUGUACUGUUUUUUUAUUCAGGUAAGAAAAUGCCAAUUUACCGUCUGGGAGCAUGCAGCAUCCGGAAAUGUCUUCUUCUCCAGUUGUGAUGCUAUUGUGUUUCGUUAGCUUGAUAUUUGCAAUGGACCUAGUUUGUUUUAUUGGCACAUGUAAUAUCAUUUGGGCUUGUUUGGUCUUUUUCUUAAACAGAACAAUAUUGUAAGGUUUAGAUUCAAUAUUAAACUUCUCCGAAAGUUUGUAUAUCAAACAUGAUAUUCUGAAUAGUAGUGUCGAUUCUAUAUCUAAUAGAAUGUUGUUCCGUGCUUUCUCCAAGAGACUGCAUGAUUUUAUCUUUGCUGUUGACGUACUCUUCUAUUUGCUUCAUUGAUAGGAACACGUGAAGAUCCGUUUUGUGUUGUCUGAUGUUUAAAAUAUUUGUCUGGUAAGUGGUUAUUUCUUUUUCUUUCUUUUAAUUUCCAACAAUGACAAUAAAAAACAUACUUCAAAGUUUUCUUGUUCUUCGAGCGCUUGGAGUUUUUUUCAUAAAGUCUUCUUGUAGUUUGUCGAUAUGGUUGUUGACGUUUGUUCUGGUCUUCAAUACUUCUUCUUCAAUUUCCUUUCUUCUUUUAUUAAAUGACGUCAGAUUUUUCUGUUGAUGCUGGCGAACUUUCUGUAUAUUAUCUGCUAGUUCAACUAAUGUUUUCUCUAAUUCGCACUGGGCAUAGGAGGUUUUGGCAUUUUGAGUAAAGUCAUCUAAUUCGGCGAUAUUUUGGCAUUCAUUGUGGCUUUCAACGAUACAUUUGUCGCAGCAGGGACAUUCAUGUUUCUGGCAAUACAAUCGAUAAUUUUCAUUGUGUUUGGUACAGUAUUGAGAAAUGUUUAGUACAUCAAUUGGUAGAUUCUGAAAUUUGGCAACAUGUGUCACAGUAUGAAUUUGGAACGCCUUAGACAAACUAUGAUGCUCCUCGCAUUCUUUACACAGACUCUCGUCACAUUCUGUACACCAGACAAUGGAUGGUUUUUUGAUGUGACGGAGUUCACAAAUACCACAGCAAUUAGAAGAUGUCGCUAUUUAUCUCAAACUACAAAUAAAAAUAUGUAUUAAUGUUCAUGAAUUAAAGUUUAUGUUAGUGUUAAUAUUGUUGCAGUUGCCUUUUGUUACGUUAUCGCUUACUCUUGACUUAUUUAUUGAAGUCUGUAAACUGUUAAAUUGUAGUGUUUUGAAAGUGUACUGUAUUUGAUAAAUCAAUCAUAAGGUCACUCCUCCCCAUUUUUGUCUUAAGUUAUCAAGAAAUUUUUCUUAGUAACAGUUAUAAAUAUUGUAAAGGAAAUAGAUAUACAUGGUUUUUUUUUGUAACAAUUUUAUUUGUAUUUAUUGAAAUAUUUCAACUUAAUGUUACCAUCAUUUAAAAAUAGACUUAUUAUACGCAGAUAGAUUCACUUUCUUGAUUUGUCACACAGGUUUAUAUUUAUGCACAUCUUUUUAACUGGAACAUAUUUAGACGUACACGAGCUGCACAUCAAUUCCAUCUUAACAUUAUAUUACAUUAUUUUUCACUGUAAGAUAGUUGGUAAUGUUGUGGAUAUGACAGUUGUCGUUAACAUUCUAAUAUAUUCAGUGCUGGAGAUGUCCCACAAUUACCAAUACUUAGUAUGGUGAAAUGGAUAGCUGGUGUGUUUUUAUUGGUAUCUAGUUCAAUUAUCGUUGUUUAAAUGUUUUUAUUAAAUAAAUAAACAAUGUGUACUAGUCAUCAUCAUCAUCAUCAUCAUCAUCAUCAUCAUCAUCAUCAUCAUCAUCAUCAUCAUCAUCAUCAUCAUCAUCAUCAGCAUCGACAUCAUCGUCAUGAUCAUGGAAUCUAGUGUGACAAACCAAUGAAGUGAAUCUCUCUGCGUUUCUAAAUGAUGGUACCAUGACGUUGAAAUAUUCAUCGCAUUAUCUUUAACUUAUUAUGUAUAAUUUCUGAGGUACUUCCUUAAUCAAAUUCCUAGCAUAUUCACUGGUCUGCUAACCAGAUCAACCAUAUGUUAUAUGUUAUAUGGACGUUUCGUCCGCAGAACCACCCUUUAUUGUCCACACACAUAAAUAGCUUUCAAAUUAUAUUCCUGCAAUCUUUGCUUAAUCUCCUUUCAUAAAAAAUAUAGUCGACCAUGUGAAUUUGAAACAACAAGCGCUUUUAAAUUUCGGUAUAGCCAUAGAAAAUCAUUAAUAGAAUAGUUUUAGUUACAACUGUAUACGAUAGACGUUUAAUGCAAUUGCACUUCAAACCAUGAAAGAUUAGCUGAUCAUAAAUAUUACAUUUUCAUACCAGGCCUGAAUUGUUUGACUCUUUUGAAAACCAGUUUUGACCUGGGGUAGAGGGAAACUUUUGUUUUGUAGAUAGUCUUUCUCGAUUCUGUAUUUCUUUUGCCAAUUAUACACUAUUAUCUAUAGUAUGGCACACCAUUACUCCUCAUUAUUUUUUUCUAUUCUUUAAUUUUUUCCUUUAUUCUGCACUUAUUGUCCCAUUAUUUUCUGCUCUGUAAUACUCUUGUUCAUUUUAUAAACCUUCAACAUUUGUUUCGGUUUUCUCAUGUUAGGUUUUUAUCGUAAUUAACAUGUUUAACGGCUUAAGAAAACUGCAUAUAUUAUUUAACUUGGAAAAUAUCUCACUCAAAAUAAUUUACCAUUUGUUAUCUCAAACUUGAUACCACAAAUAUAAUGCAUUCUUUUUGUAUUUUAAUCAAUUCAAUAUGAACGUCUUAGUGUUUUUUGAAGAUUAUUACGUACAGUUUUGAUAUGACGAUUAUUUUCAUUUUAACCUUUUGCAUGCAGGCUAUUUUUUACCUUGUCAGUUAGAAUAUUCUACUCUUAGAGAUAAAUAUAGUCGACAUUUAAGACUUUUUCUCAAAACUUCAAUUUCUUUGACAUAUCUGAUAUUUGAACAAACCAAUUUCUGUAAAUAAACGCUAGCGGAUUUCUGUAAAAAUCUUUGGAAUAUUAGUAUCAUCUUUACAUACUUGUUCUUUAAAUGUGUGUAACAAUUCUUAAAAAAUAUUUUUUAUCAUUUGCUCAUCAACUUUCUGCUCAGACACUGGUGACGUGUUAUAUAAUAUACGUAGCAGCUGCAAGUUCUUGAAUACCGAUUGAGUUGGGAAAUGCAAAUAAAAAGUAAAAUUGAUAUAUUGCUGCUAAAAUAGGUGGAAUUUAUGAUUUCUGAGUGGAAAUCGUCUUCUUUGUCAUAUAUUCUAGUACUUAUAGAUGACUGAUAUGUCUUAUUCGAGGUACAAGCCUAAAAAUUAGACAAAGGGAGUUAUUUCUGUUGUUUCUAUAUAUUUUAGUUCUGAAGGAUGGAACACAAUCAGAAAAGUUUAGAUUGUAAAUUGAAAGAACAUCUCCAAUAUAUCUGAAUGAGAAAUUAAAUAAUUGAGUUUCAUUGUUCUUUUUUUCUGUUCGCAAGUGUUUGAAGGAACUCUAACUUAUGUGAAUAUAAGAAGAGGUCGGUAAUAAAGGGAAGAUAGUUUAUUUCAAUUGGAAUGCCGACAGUUUGUUGUAAAAUUCAACCAAUACAUUAUAUGUUGUCAAAACUGUAGUAUGCUGAUCACUUGUUCCUCUGUGUAGCAUGCUUUUCCUUUUUGUAUCCCAAAGCAAUAAGUCUAUAGCGUUACUACCAAAUUUAUAUUGGAAGGCAUUGUGGAUUAUUUACCUUAUACAAUAUUUAAAUUUUCACAUUGAAACUGAUGGUAUACAGGGUUGAAAAUGAAAAGGUUUGAAAGAAUUAGUUUGAGAGAAUUCUCGGGAUAUACUAUUUUCAAGAAGUUCUAUAGAGUCUACAAUCUACAAAUGGUUUAUACCCCUUAACAGUUUCACAGUAUUUCCUGCCUAAUCCGACACCUGAGUAUUCCAACAUCCUGCUUUAACCGACACAUUAUCUUUGUCCAAUAUUAUGCCUAUUCUUACAGAAAAAAAAAACAUGAGUAUUCCGACACACUGCUUUAUCCAACAUUUUUUUCUGAUUCCCCAAAUUGUCGGAUUACACAGGAUACAAUGUAUUUAAUGUACAAUGUAUUUUUUAAUAAACCAUUUAAAAUUUUCGAGCCAUUUUGUUAAUUUUUAUACAUGUUAUAUCAAGAAGAACUAAUCAUUAACUUAAUCUGAAAGAUAAUUGAGUUUUGAAAUAUUAAAUGAAAUAUAAAAACUACCUUUAAUUUGAAAUAUUCAAUUUCUUCUUGUUCACCAGAUUGAAUGUUUUUAACUGUGUGACUAUUUGGAAUAAGCAAGGUGUGUUUUUCGGUACAGCCAUGGAAAAAGAUAACAUGUAAGUUAAACAUAUAUUAUGUCAGAGUUAAACCCCUGCACAAAGUACGAUCAAUACAAUACACCAUUGUUGCUAAGUAUGACAAUGGGGAGCUAAAAGGAGGUCCUUCUUUUUGUACUUUAUUUGUCUAUGGAUUUUGUCACGAUUCGUAUUUAGAUUUUCCCUAUUAUACUCUUUUCUUUAUACUUUGGCACCAAAUUAUUCUUUAUUUUUAUCGUGGCCUUUUUCUUCCAUCUUUAUCUAGUAAUUUGAGUUUUUUCCAUUUUUCUAAAUUCCCUUAAUUUCAUCCAGAUCUUUAUUUAUGUUGAACAUUAAAAUAAACCUUUAUUACAUAAUUACACCCAAGCGGGUAAAAUGUAUGUUUUGUUUCCUCGUAUCAUAGUAUCUGUUGUUGCUAGCGGCUUGAAAAGAAAUCACGAAAAUAUAUCAUUGUAAUUGACGAAUAAAUCACCAAAAUUAACAAUGUAUUUUAUUCGUUAUCUCAAACUUGAUUCCACAAAAUAAAGUCCAGUCUUGUUUUAUUUUAAUAAAUUUAAUAUAACCGUCGUGGCGCUAGUUAAGGAGGACAUACAAUACAUGCAGAUCCUUUCCGACGUUGGCUUAUUUUCAAAGAAUAUCUUAGUACAAGAUAUAUUUCAACUCGUCAUUUCAAAUCUCUGUAAAUUUCUCUACCUGUUUGAACUACUUGUAGUGAUGAAGAAAGUCCAAAUUUUAGUCAUUUACUCAAAAUGUUUAUUUCUUGGACAUGUUGGACAUUUUAGAAAUUUCGGAAUAUCAUUUUUACAUAUUUAUGCUUUAAAUUCGUGCAACAAUAUUUUAAAUGAUAUAAUUAAAUUCAGUUUUCAUGAGAAUUUGCAUUGCAUUUGUUGCUUUAUAUUUACCUAAUUAAGAAACUGAUUUUUUUCAUAAAAAUUAAUCCAAAAUCUCUUCAUACUUAAUCAAGUCAAACGCAAUUUUUAAAAUGAUGUGUCAAUAUACUUGUUUAAACUUUUCAAGCCAAAGAUUUUGAGUCAUCAGUAAUUGCCUGUUUUCCAAAUACUCAAAAGGACACGACAAACAGGAGAUUUUUGCUUGUAUGACCAGCAGUUUUUGCCUGAAAUCUAACCUUUGAAGAGUGACAAUGCUUUAUGUUAUAAAUGACAUUUUAUAAAUCAAAUGAUUAAAAUUUAAAAAAUAUGUCAGUCGAAUUAUUAUAGCAGUAAUUAGGUUCUUGUUUAUUUACGUAUGUUCGUUCUUUGUUCUGUGAAAUAAAACACGAAAAAAAAUAUCCAAAAGAGUCUCUUUUUGAUAUUUUCAAAACAGAAAAAGUUUUCAUUAUUUUAGAUCAAAAGUGGAUGUUUUCAUUUUUUGUUCCAUAUUCAUCGAAAUUGAAAAAUGUCAAAAGAUCGCAAUCCACAAAGCAUUUACAGAUUUUUGUAGAGAAAAUAUACAGUCAGACUUAUUAAUUAAAAUGGUGUAAUGUAUAAAGCAAAGACUUUCAAGUUAAGAUAUAUAUUUUCCUCAAUAGCACAUCAGAUUUAUAAAUUCUAUUAUCAAAUGAAUUUGACAUUCAAAUUACAUUACAUUGUCAAAUUCUUUUAUAACAUGGAUUAGAUCUUUUUUAAAAAUUAAAUAUCGAUACAAAAUAUAUUAAAAUGCAGGUUGUAAGCUAACUCUCCCGGUCAAGAAAGAGCGUUUAUUAUUCCAUUGGAUACGCAGGACCAAUUCAAAGCCACUUUUCGAAUGGUGAAAAUCUAAUAUGAUUUAAAUUGAUUACUAACGUCCAUACGAGAAUUUAAAACGCAUAUUCAGCUCAAUAGUAUGUUAAAUUUGAUAUGAAGAAGGUAUUGAUGGUAUGAUACAAAACGUACCCGAUCUUAACAAAUAAAUGUUCAUUAGUUCAUGACUUUAAAAUUAUUCAAAAUAAAAUUAAAAAAAAAAACAUUAAACCUGUGCAAGCAGCGUUGAAAAUUGUGUUUGCUUUAUCUUUAAAUUUUGGUUUAAUAAAUACACACCGAAAUAAAAGAUUGAUCACACGGUAGACUAAACUUCAUUUAGUCGGAAGAUCGUUUCUAUACAUAUAACGUUAAAGGAUUAACAUCAUUUGGUUCUACAAUCAAAAUACAAAAAUCAAUGACUGGGACCAUCUGAAUUUCUGACCAACCCUUUUGCGACCAAAUGUAAUUAUGCUUGCUUUCAAUAACUGUGAGAUUUUUUUUGAAAGUAAACAUUUGUAUUGUUUAUAUCAGCGUGUUUGUUUUAAAUAUUUAUUUCAUGUUGUGACAAAUAUUGUAUUAAAGGCAACAGUACUAUUCCGAUGGUUGAAUGUCAUAUAUUUGGUACGGAGUUUCAUAUCACGGUAAACAAUAAAAAAUUAUGAAAUUGCAUCUGCUUCAAAAGGAUAAAAUACCAUCAUUAUCAUCGGUUAUUUAUUGUUCCCAUUUACUAAUUUAAAGAUGUUAUGAAUCUAUUGUUGAUCAUUGUUAUUUCAUUGGUGGUAGGAUGCAAUGCCGAUAUCCGCUGAAGUUAUUUCACAGCAGGGCCAUUUUAAAUUGGUUUUUCAAUUUUUUCCUGAAUUCCUGAAAUUCAUUUUCUCACAGCUAAUGUGUAAAAUAGCAUUGCUUAUUCAUAUACAGAUCAUCAUAUUAUAAACGACUAAAUAUAAAUAGACAAAAAACUAUAAAUUUAUCACCUUAUUGCCAAUUUUGAGAUCUUAUACUAAAUAUGUAGAAACAUAGAUAGGUGUCAGUAACCGACCGUGAGUACUCUUAAAUCUUUGUGCUUUUAAUGUGUGGAUCAAUGACUAUCCAUCCACAUUCACUAUGUGUAUUUGUUAGAUGUAUUCCUGUUUGUACCAAUCUGACGAGAUCAGCCUUUUGCAACCUUUUUUUAGUUUGUUCUUAUAUUGUACAUGGUUGGCGCCUUUAAGCCCGCCACAUUCUGAAUGUGGCUGUCCAAAGUCGGAAGACUAUAAUUCAGUGGUUGCUAUUUGUUGCUGUGUAAAAGAGGUUCGAAAGAUAUCAAAGGAACAGUCAAGCUCAUAGAUCGAAUAUAAACUGACAAUGCCAUGGAUAAAAAAGAGAAAAAAAUGACAAGUAAUAGUUCACAACCCACAACAUAGAAAACUAAAGACUAAGCAACACAAACCCCACUAAAAACUCUGAUCUAAAGAGCUCAGGGUAAGUAGAUCCUGCUCCACGUCUGUUAGCAGUCGUGUUGCUCAUUUUAUUACAAACACUGUAAUUAUUAGGUAACAUUCGUGAAAAGGGAAGGGGAUUGUAGUUACGAAACAAAGAACAUAUCCGAUUUCAUCUGUGAAACAGUUAUUCCAUAACGGACAACUUACUCGUGAUGCCGUCCGUAAAAUGUACGAAGGGAUGAUUGCAACUUCACCAUUUUGAUCUCUUGGUUUUAUAGCUUCCUUGUGAGCAGCAACCCUCUAUCAAGGAAACCAUGAGAGGUCCGUGAAUAUCGUAUCAAUUUGUAAAUAUAUAUUCUGUAUGCAGGAACUGCUGGAAUGUUGCUACAUAGAAAUGUAAAGUUCACAAUUGGAAAGCUGAAAUCAAUUCUUUUGUCGUAAAGUUUUGAAUUCAAUCGAAAACCCGUAACAUUUUCCAUUUUUUUUAACAUGAAAUAUGCCGUAAGUAUUCUCAGUGUAUAUAAAGUGCGAAUCCAGUCAGUUCAUUUUUACUGUUGUAUGCGAGUAUGUUCAUUGUAGAAUAAUGAUCAUGGGAAAACAUUAUUUGUUUACGUUUUGAAAUUACCAAAAUAAUUGAUAUGAAACUAAAUUUUAACAUAUUUUCAUUAUGAUGUGUCUUUUUAAUGUAAAAUAAAUGUAUUAAAGUUCAAAUAUGUGUUAUAAAAGCAACAUAAUAUAGAACAUCAAUUAUUAAGUCGAUCCAUUUUCACUAUAGAUGCGAUGAAUUAUCACUGUAUGGCAUUCAUUUCUGAUGUAGAAUUUUCGAAGAUGCGAUGAAUUUUUAUUGUAGAUUAAUGUGAUAAUUAGACUUGCAACAAAUGAAAAACUUAUUAGAUUGCUUUAAUAUUUAUAUUUAUUUAUAACUUGUUUAUGUCUAUAAAAACUGGCUGGCCAUUUAUAUCUUUUCCCACAGUAUUGACAUGUGUGAACUGUAUUGCCAUGUUUUCCUGCUUUGUGAUUCGCUAGGUCUUUAGAAGUUCCUGAUUACACAUAUCACACUGAUACUUUUUGUUGUUUUCUUGGUGCAUGUUGUUUCAAAUUAUGUUUGUAAAAAAAAUACUUUCUUAAAUUUAUAGGGCUUGUUGUUUAGGUGCUUGUUGACUUGGCCAUCAAAGAGUUGUUUUUAUACGAGGGCAAUUUUUUUUCGGUUCGUAUAUUGCUAUGAUGUCGUCAUCGUCUGCGUCGUCCGAAGACACAUUUGUUUCCAGGCAACUACAAUUUAAGUGAAUGGAUCUAUAUAAAUUUUAAAGAAGGUUCAAUACCACAAAAUGAAGGUUGGGAUUAUUUUGGGGAUGAUGGUUCCAACUUUUUACGAAAAAGGGCAUAAAAGAAGCAUUCUUUUUAGUUUCAGGAUAAUUUCUUGUGUAUAAGAAUUUCGAUUGCUCUGAAAUUGUAAUACAGCGUUCAAUACCACAAGUAGAAGGCUAGGAUUCAUUUUGGGGGUUAUGGUACUAACAGUUUAGGGAUGAAGGAACAAAAAAAUGGACAAAAAACAAUCCUGUUAACUUUAUAGUUUCCGGACAAUUACUUGUGUGUAAGUUUUUGGAUCUUUCUGGCAUUGUGCCACAAGGAACAAUAUCACAAAUUAAGGGCAGACUGGCAUACGAUACAGUUUUGAUCCUGUAUUUACAGUUUGAUGAAAAUGUCCAUAUAUGCUAUUUUUUGCCUGAUUAAAUCAAAUAUGUAAUAAAAAAUAUACCUUCAUGUGCUACUUUUUGAGUUAAAUGAGGUCGAAAUUUUGUAUAUUUGCUCAAAAUUCGGAUUUGUGGCCGUAUUUCCUUUUCGAAAGAAAAACAUAACUUUUUUGUUUUAAAAAGAUAAACACAAAUUGUUUUUGUUAAAUAAUUUGUAAUUUCUGUUUUUUAUAAGUAUUCUAAAAAAUUAUGCAUUUUUUAUUCAGAAAUAACUCAUAUUUAUCAAAUGGUUAUGAAUUGAGUAAAAAGGGUAAUUUUUUGCUGUAUAUUUAUCAAAAUUAAAAAAAAUGGAUUAAUUACAAUUUUAUAAAAUUUGAUCCACAUAAUCUCCCUGCAAAAUGAAACAAAAUGUCGUUUUAAAAAAUAGGGGUCCAUGCACUCGUUUCAAAUAAAAUCAAUUUGAAUGUUUAAAAUAAGUCGAAAAAUGCAUCUUUUCCCGAUAUGUCAUAGUUUGACGUCGCGAAACUAACAUUUUACGUUAGCAACGUCAUUACCUCCCUUGUAACUGUAUCGUAUGCCCUUAAUAUUGUGUCCAUAUUUGCCCCAACUGUUCAGGGUCCUAACCUCUGCGGUCAGCGAAGCAUUUUAAAUGUUUUACUACAAAACGAGCUGAUGUGAUUAAAAGUUCCUGUUGCUUUCUUCAUAUGGUGAGCCAGGCCAGCAUAGGCGUAUCAAGGGGUGCCUGCAAAAAUUUGGUUGAUUAUAUAUAUAGGAAUCACUGAAGCGUAUCUGGAGCCCCCCCUUUUUUAGGUCAUCCAUCGGGUCCGCCUUACAAAAAGUUCUGGAUCCGCCACUGCCCAGUUCUGCUUUUGAAGUGUUUGGAACAAUGAGUACAAAUCAGGCCUUCUCCAUGCUAACAGUUUUCAUGCUCAUUGAGAAGUCUUAACAUUUUAAUUCACACUGGUCACAUUUGUGUAACUCAUUAGUGUGGAUCUUCUUAUGCCUGUGAAAACUAGCUACCAAUUUUGUCUUGAAAGGACAAUAAGUGCAUUGGUAUGAAGACCCCUCCUUCUUAACUUUAGUUCUGUGGUUCAUCUUCACUUGCUUCCCGUAUUGUAGAACCCCAAAUGCUUCAAUAUUCAUAUUCUGAAGGAAAGAUAGUUUUAGCUCGAUUAUUGCUUGCAUGUUCUUUACUGUAUAAAAUGAAACGACAUGUGACAUAUAAAUUAUCCAAAGUCAUCAAAGCGUGAAAUGCAAGUCAAGUUGUGUAGGGCAAACUUUUUCUGUCAAAAAUAUAAACUGAUAAAGUUGCAUUGGUACAUGAUGUACGUGUUGUAGAGCACCCUUGAUACUACCGCAGAGGUCGAACCCCGAACAGUUUGGGGCAAGUAUGUACACAACAUUUAAGCAAGACAUCAUUUUUGAUGAAAUAAAGAAAAUGUUGAAUAUCGGACCCUUUGGACCUCAAUGUGGACCAUUUUGAUAACUUGGCCCAAAAUACCAAAAUCCCAAAAUUAAAAACACGGUGAGAUUCAGCAUGCCCAAGUACCCCAAAUAUUCAAUUGUUGUUGAAAUUCAAAAGAAUUUAUUUCUUGACAGUUAGGACCCCACAAACUUGUUAAAUGGACCAAAAAAUAAUAAACACAAUCAUGUAUGGAUUCAGCCUACCAAAGAACCUCAAGUUUUAUUUUGGACCCUGUGGGCCAAUUUAAAACCGGACCCAAAAUCAAAAAUCUUACGUCAAAACCUCGUUGAAAUUGGUCAAGAAGUGAUUUAUAAAAAAAUAUUAGAAAAGCAUUUUUGUUUUUUAUCCCUUUUUAUCCCAUUCUAUUUCGAUAGACAUGAUAGAUGUACGUAUUCAGUGAUGAAGUGUCAUUGCAUUGGAUAAAUAUAACUGUACUUUAAAUAAAGAUGCUGAUGAAUUAUGAAAAAAAACUAUGACAUGCUUCUUCUGCUUUGUAAAUAGACCCAUACUCGAAAUCCAAUGAUAAAAUUUGUUUGCACAUGCGUAUAAUGACUACUGCAGAAACAUGAAUUUUAUCAAAUUGGCAUGCAUUUUAAAAUAUAUUUCUUUAAUCUAAAACAGUUACACUUUCAACUCUUAAAUGAUCCACAUGUUGUUAUAUCAUGACUACAAUGUAUUAUAUAUAAAAAUAAAUAUUAAUUCUAUUGAAUUAAAUGGAUUGUUCAAUCAAACUUUCCAUCUCAAAGUCAGUACUAUCAAACCCUUUUCUUACUUUAAUCAUUGUUUGAGCAAGUCGGCUGAAUUAGGAAUUUAUUGCAAUAAAAAUGAAUAAAACUCAUACAGUGAAAAUGCACCGCUUAUACAAUACUUGUGAAUCACUAUACAGUGAAAAUGAAAGUAAAGUAUCAUUAUUCAACAGUAAACAUGACUCGCAUAAAGAUAGCAUAGUGGAAUUCAAUACAAUAUGGACAAACCGAAUAACAAAAGCUAUUCUACAUUAUACAACAUUAAUAAUUGUGUUGAAAUGAAUAUUUUUCUUCAACUACAUCUUUCCUGCUAGUUUUUAAUCACCUGCACGAUUUGUUCGUAAGACGUCCUAAAUAUUCACCUAUUUCGGUAUAUAUUAAACGUAUGGAUGGCUCUCGUCGCGAUAAAAACCCGUUCCCAUCUCUUAUUUUGUCCAACUUGUAUUAUUUAUUACUAAACAUUUACAUGUGAACUACUUUUCUUCAUUUUCUUCAAAUAUCAUAAUUUUUUCGUCUGCUUAUUUACAAUUCUUCAUCAGAAAUGCGUGGCAUAUACAGUGAAAAUGGUAUUUUAGGAUCCGCACUUUACAUACACUGAUUCUGGUUUGAAUUGUUUCACAUUUGUCGGUUCGGGGCCUGUUGUAGGUUGCACUUUGUAAAUACAGCUUUUUCACAAGCCAUGCCUUUUUUGGUGAGAUAUAUAAUGCGUAUAGAUAUUUUAAUUUGUUUACGUACUAUUUCCCAGUAUAAAAACACACGAUACCGGAGAAAAAAUUAAGUCUGAGACAGACCAAAAAUAAUGGUAGGGGUAGUACAGAAUUUAAGUUGAAUUUAUGUUUCAAACUUAUGAAAAUAUGUAAAACUGUUUCAAUACACUAUAGAUUAUGAUAUAGACACUUUGAUACUUCAAUUCUAGCAGGAUUCUUUUUUUACACUGUCAACGAAUCAAAUACUGUUUAAAGAGUUUUUUCAUGUUGUGUGUAUUUUAAUCUUGCCACAAUAUGUCUAGCUGUUCCAAAUCAGUUAUUUUCUCGGUGGUUGUCUUUUGUUUUGUAUUUUGAGAACUUGAUGGGAGGCCAUUGGCAGUUUUUUUCUCGAAUGAAUUCAUAAUGUUUUAUAUCAUCUAGGUACGAUUAAGGGAGCUUAAUAUAUAAUAUAAACAAAUGUGUUGCGUUGUUUACUACACUUCUGGAUUAUAAUGAAGCUCUUUUUAUUUUGGAGAUAAAUGAAAAUUAUUAUGUCUUAUGAGUACUGUUGUUUCCAAACAAUCAGAUUAAUUAGAACAUCAAUUUAUUUACAAAAAAGUAUACAUUUGCCAUUCAUACAUUAAUUAUAUUUAAGAGAAUAUUGACCUAUUGACUCAUCUUUUUAAUCUUCAAUUUUUUUUUCAUUAUAGAGACAAUCAUGACAAUGUAGCAUAUAUAUUUUUAUCUACCUUACUGAAAUUUCUUCAAGGUUAGGGGCUCUAGUGUACGAUAUUGAUUUGUUUCUUUAUGCCACAUAUCAUAUGAGCAUGCAUUUACAGUUAAUGUUUAAGCAUAAUUUAAGACUUAUCUAGUACUUUUUAAUACAUUUGUAGCUGUGACAAAGCAAAACACACGUGCAUAAAUUGAUAAUAUAAGAAUAACAAUUAAAUGUUUUUGAAUGCAUUAUUUUGUUUCAAACAAAUGUUUCAUAUUCAAUUCUAGAAGCUGACAAAAUAAACAAAACAAGUUUCCAAAAUCCAGUCAAAAUAAACAUUGCACAGAAGGCUCCAAAAAGAGAGAUGUUCAAAUGUAAAUACCGUAGACGUGUUAGAUGAAACUAAACAACUGAGCCUCGUUUCUGAAGUUUGCAACCAGCAACUGCUUUUUUUGUUUAUUAUAAUGAACCGAGGUAGGCCUGUUAAGACCAUCACUUGCUGUUAGUACUUCUCUAAGACGUUUUCCGUCAGGGGUGAUGAUUACCAUAUUGUUCGAAUCGUUCCCCACUACAUACAGGUUACCAUCAUUAUCUACAUCUAUACCAUGAGGAUAUUUCAGAACGUUUUCAUUUUGGAAUGUCCAUUGCAGUUUACCUUCUAAAGUAAAACAUGAAACAGUAUCUGAUACUCUGUUUGUAUGAUAUAUUUUGUCCAUAUAUGUUACCGUGUAACAUUCACUUGGCAUUUUAUCUCCAACUAUAUCAUGAAUAGACUCGUCAUUCAGAUUGAUCAUUCGUAUACCGUUGGUGUAUGCUGAAUAUAUCAAUCGGUUUCCAUUCAGUGCUAUGCCAUAUACAAACGAGUCCACUGGAAUAAUUUUCUUUAUUUGUUUCCGCUCCACGUCUAUAAUUGUAAUACACUGCUUUUUUGAAUUACCAGAUGAAACAGCUAAUGUAUUGUCUUCACUGAUGUACAAAAUAUCAAAUGCUAUACAUGGCAUCUUCACUUCAAAGUCUAUUAAUCCCUUACUAUUGAAUAUUUUUACUGUCCACUCAUAGUAGUAGGUAAAUGCCAUUCGACCAUCCAUUAGCAUGCAACAUCCGUAAAUGGCUUCUUCUUGGGUGUUUGAUGGUCUUUUGUAUCGUUAGUUUGAUAUUUUCAAUGGAUUUUGAUCGGACUCUGGGUACCAACAUUUGGGCUUGUUUGACCUUUUUCUUAAGCAGAACAAUCUCACAAGAUUUAGCGUCAAUUUGCACUUCUCCAAAACUUUUGAUUCCGCACAUGAUAUUCUCAAUAGAGGUGUUGAUUUCGUAUGAUAUAGAAUUUUGCGUCAAGGUAUUGCUUUUUACAAGCGACUGCAGGAACUUAUCCGUUUGUAAGACGUCUUCCUCCAUUUGCUUCAUUGAAAGGAACAUCUCAAGGUCUGUUGAGUGUUUCUUUAUGUUCAUAAUGUUUUUCUGGUAUUCUGCUGUUUCUCUUUCUUUAUUUUCUAAUGAUGACAAUAAAAGACAAAUUUUGGAAUUUUCUAUCUCUUCGACCGCAUUAAGUUGAUUAAUGAGAUCUUCUUGUAGUUUGUCGAGAUGGUUAUUGAUCCUAAUUCUGGUCUCCAUAAUUUCUUUUUCAAUUUCCUUUUUUUGUUUCUUCAAAGUUGACAGAUUGUCCUGUUGAUGCCGGCGAAUUUUCUGUAGAUUCUCUGCUACUUCAACUAAUGUUUCCUCUAUCUCGCAAACUGCGUUUGAAGUUUUAGCAUUAUGAAUGACUUCAUCUAGCUUUACGAUGUCCUGACAUGUUUUAUGACAUUCUGUAAUACACUUUCUGCAGCAAGGAGAUUCGUGCUUCUGACAAUACAUUUGAAAUUGUUCAUUGUGUUUGGCACAAUUCCUAGAAGCUUUCAGAAAAUCUGUUGGUAAUUUCUUGUAAUCGGUAAUGGGGAUCACACUGUGAUUCAUAAAUGUCUUAGACACACUAUGUUGUUCCUUGCAUUUUAUGCAUAGUGCCACGUCACAUUCUGUACACCAGAAUAAGGUUGUUUUGGUGAUGUUACGUUCGUCACAAGCACUACAGCUCAGAAAAGUCGCCAUGACUACAAACUACAAAAUGGUUUUCAUUAAUAUAUCAUUUAUCACACCAAUUGAACCAACAUCAACUUCUUGCAUCAGUCGCCAAUAUCAAUCAUAGAUAUCAAUCACGAACAUCAACCACCAAAAUAAAUCAACACCAUCCACCAACAACAUCAACUAACAUCCUUAUCCUCAUAUAUCAGUCACCACAAACACUGUACUCCGUCAUCUAUCACCAAUAUCAUUCAACACCAUCAGCAACAAACAUAUUUCUCAACACUCAACCAUCAGCACACUUACCAACAUCAACUACCAACAUUAAGUGCUGCCCAUUUUUGUUUACUCUUUGUUUACAUAUUUGUUUGUUGUAUAGUGAUUGAUAUGAUAAAACAUUGUUGACUGCUGUCCCUCUUUUUUGACAUUUUUACCUAUUAUAAAUGUUUGUUUUGUUCACACAACGUUGUUGAUAUGAUGGAGUUCUAUUCAAAUUUUAUAUAAGUGAGACGUUCAGCUAUCUAUUAAACCAGGUUUAAUCCACCCAAUUUUCUACAUACGAAAAUUCCUGUAUCAAGCCAGGAAUAUGGAAGUUGUUAUUAAUUUGAUUCAUGUGUUUGAGCUUUUGAAUUUGCCAUUUGCUUAAGAACUUUCCUUUAAGGAUUUCGGAAUUUUUGUAGUUUACUUUUUGCUAUAAUUGUGUUCCAUUUUUUUUUUUUUUAGAAAAAAUACAGAAUACAGUUCAUACGGGUAUUAAAAAUUGGGGUUGAACAUUUAUUAAUUUGCCCUCUAGCGAUCAUAAAUUCAGAAAGUUUUGACUUGGGGGAUCUUUGUUCCUUUAUUCCUUGAUACUUAAUCCUUUUACAGCAUUUUAUAUCCCCUUUCCUUCUUUAAUAUGUGAAUAAAUUUAGAAAAUUGACAAUUAAGUUAAAAUCAUAGAGUGGUGUUGUCAAAUUAGGACCGGUAUUUAUUUGCAGAUUUGAGUAUGUAUAGAAUUGUAGGAAAUAUACGGAAGGUAUAAAAACAUAAGAUAAAUUUCCCAACAAUUAUCAUUGCGACAUUGUCAUACCGAUACGCACGUAUGGCGAUUCAAUUUUUAAUGUGUGCACUAUAUUCACAAUUUUCAAUUGAGACGCCAAAUAAAAACUACAACAAAAAUAACCCAAUUUACGGUAUACUAGCUCAAAUGGAGACACUGUUACCAUAACAACCUGUCAACUAAUUUUGUAAAGACUAGCCCCGUUAUCAAUCUAGACACUGAUAAUAUCGAAAUCACUAAAUAAUACCUUAACAGCAUACAAUGGCAAUAGAAAUAUUUUGUCUAUUAAAUGAACGCACAUUUGUAUUUGGUAAUAAACUUUCAAAUCAUUAUGUAAAUUUUUUUAUAUCAAAAAAGCCUUACCAGUUGAUAUUUUGUGCGUCUAUGUCAAAAUUUUAAACAGAAUGACAAUAUGCGUCACUUUCCCCACUAAUAGCCAUUGAUUAAUUAAAAAAAUUCUGUUAAUCACAAUUUGCUUCAAAUGAAUAAUCCUUUUCACUUGUGACAAAAAACAUAUACAAAAUCAAUAGAUUGUAUUAUAAAAUGUAUUAAUGAUAGUUAUUCAUUUGAAUACCUUCCAUUGUACUCACAAAAUGUUUUAAAUGAAUGGUGUCUGAUUUAAGAUCUUUCUAUCAAGUCUCAUAUAUCAAACGUCUGUCUUUGAUCAGAGUUAUAAUAAUAAAAAGUACAACGUCUGUUGUACUAUAUUCUUAUCCCACACAUGACUCCCUGGAAUUAUUAUAAUGUUUAAUUAGACAUGAAAUGUUAUAUAACGAUUGCAGAAAUGAAAUAGAUAAACAAAUAAAAGAAGGAAAGAAAGGAAGCCUAGAGAAAUGAUUCGGUGAUGGUAAAAAAGAAUCUUAUAAGUUAAAGCAACAUGUACUUUGUAUUUUCAAUUUUGUUUUCAAUCAUAACAGAGACGGAUCGCUUAAAAUGAAAGGAGGUUUAUUCAAAUUCAGAACUUAUUGACGUGUUACAAAAAAUCAAAACCAUAUUAUAAUAUAAAUAGUAUUAAAGUACGGCUAAGUGCCACACGAGCAAUCAUAAUGCUUUUUGUUUUUUGUUUUUUGUUUUUUGUCAAUAUGUCUGUUAUUUUAAACUCUGUACUAUCCGUAUUUUCGCCUCGAAUGAAUGCAUCAUUACUGCACAUCGUUUGUUGCCCUGUUAUAAGGCUAAACUGCUGUCCAAAUCCAAUAUUUUAAUUUCUAGUGACAAUAACAAUUGCCUGUCCAUCAUUCUGGUAGACACCCUAUAGGAUAAACUACCUAUUGUGUGUAUUGAUGAUUUGUUUUCGACCUGAAAACAUAUGGCAUAUUUACCACUGGCAAUAAAUUAAUUGAUUUUAUACAUGUAUAUGAAUGGCAAAUAUUUACAGCUCCUAAUAUAAGACACCAUACCACAUAGUGGAUACGACCUAGAAUGAAAAUAAAUAAGAUAAUUUGCCAACAGCUGAAGAAUGUCUACUUUCCAAAAACACAUAAUUCCAUGAUUAAUGAAAGGUUUUCCAUUGGAACACAAACUGCAUGUUUUGAUUCUAACGAAAAAAUAAAUGUUAAUACUUUUUAUCUAUUUACUUAUUAAUGUCGUUUUUAAGAUAAGAGACAGUUAUUUGCGUCAUUUCUGUUUUCGUUCUAUGAUUUGUUUUUAAAUAACAAUUCUCAUAAAAAAUAGUAUACCUUGAACAUUUCGUAUACAUAAUUAAUUUCAAAGAAAAGUGUGGCAAUAUUCAGCAUGUGCCCUUUUCAUUUCAAAUCAAAUUUCGCUGAAUGCCUGUAAUGUCAUAUUUAUUUUGUUUAUUAAAUUGAUUUUUCUGACACAAAUAAAUUCAAAUAAUCAUAUAAACGACAUUUUGUAUAUUCUUCCCAGAUAAGAGACUAUAUUGUAUUUUAUUGGUUUACUAAUUAAAUCAAUCAAUGUGCAUUGUUUAGCUUGGUUGUGGGACUAAGCCAGCAAUAGUUCACUUAAAACUUGUGUACAUCUAUUACGAAAUAUAUUGAAUUGCAUAUUUGCUUUUGUUUCAAACACGCACCACAUUUUAUGUAUAAUGUGUAACUAAAUAAUUGUAAAUGGUUCCAAAUUUCACCUUUUAUGAAAACUUCACAGAAUAAUUUAAACAUGCCAUAGAGAGACAUUUUGACAUGUUAAAUUUGUUUAAUUCAUAUUGAACAAAUGAGCCGUUUUGUGGAAGUUCGCGACUAGCAACUUCUUUUGUGGUCCACUAUAAUGAAGCGACAGGAUCAUUAAGGCCAUCACUUGCUGUCAAUACUUUUCGAUGUCGCUUUCCAUCAGGUACAAUAACUAUAACUUUGUUUGAACUGUCCUCUGCCACAUACACAUUACCAUCAUUAUCCAUAUCUAUACCUCGAGUACUCUUCAGAACGCUUUUCUUUUUGAAUGUCCAUUGUUUUUAACAUUGAAGAUUAUAACAUGUCACAGUGCUUGUUUCAUUAUUUGUAUGAUAUAUAUUGUCCCUAAAUGUUGCAAUGCAACAUUGUCUGGGCAUUAUGUAUCGCACUAUGUCACUUAUAGACUCCUCGUCUAUAUUGAUCAUGCGUAUACUUUGUCUUUGUCGUGACUGGAAAAAUCAAUCGAUUAUCUUUCAGUGCUAUGCCAUAACUAUAAGAAUCCAGAGAAAUUGCUUUCUUCAUUUGUUUCUUUUCCAGGUCUAUAAUGGUGAUACACUUCUUCUCUGAACCACCAGGUAUGAUAGCCAAUACAUUAUCAUCACUGUUGUACACUAUAUCGAACGCGUCAGACGGCAACUUCACUUUAAAAUCUUUUAAUCCUUUCACGUUGAAUAUAUUUACCUUACUCUCCAAGUAGUAGGUAAAUGCCACUCUACCAUUCGGUAAUAUGCAACAUCCAAAAAUUUGGAAUCCUUGAUUGUCGAAGGUCUUUUGUAGCGUAAGGUUUAUAUGUUCAAUAGAUCUUGAUUGAACGGUUUAUACCAUCAUUUGGGCUUGUUUUGCCUUUUUCUUAAUCAGAACAAUAUUGUAAGAUUUAGCUUCAAUACGAACUUCUCCAAAACUUCUGAUAUCGGACAUGAUAUUCUCAUUAGCGGUGUUGAUCUUUAUGAAACAAAUGUUUGUUUAAAUUCCCGCCUUCUUUAAGCGACUGAAGGAAUUUAUGUUUGCUAUAGACGUCCUCUUCUGUUCGCUUCAUGGAAAGAAACACUUGACGAUCCGUUGCAUGUUGCUUGAUGUUGAUAAUAUUUUUCUGGCAUUCUGCUAUUUCAUUUUCUUUCUUUUCUAAUGAUGAGAAUAAUUGACUUACUUUCGAGUUUUCCUUUUCUUCUAUCGCAUAUAGUUGUUUCAUUAAGGUAGCACAAUACAAAGAUUUUGUCGCUCCCAAUCAGACAACUUUAAACUGAUGUAAUUCAUUUCAUCCUUCUUUAUAUUUUAUUAAUGAGGUACCAAAAGAAAGAAGAAAGAUUAAUCUUUCAAAUUGUGAUCAUUUCAUUAUGACAUAAUUAUUAUAUAAUUAAUUAUUGUGUAAUUAGUUGCUAUAUUGUGAUGUCCACACUUGAAUCAAUUUAGCUUCUUUGUUCUUUAUAGCAUCCCAAAAUAUUUUAUAUAUUCUUGUACAACACAGCUUGACCUCCAAAACUGUGUCUCAGAUUUCCAAAAACAUCAAUAGAACAAAUUUUAUACCCAAUUGAAUUUAAUGGUCUCUAAUGAAUUGAUGUUGCAAACUUCAUUGAAGAUUUAUGAGAGAAUGAAAUACAAUAAGAAAAAUCUGAGACACAGUUUUGGAGGUCAAACUGUGUAGUGCAAGAAUCUAUAAAAUAUUUGUGGAUGCUAUGAAUAACAAAGAAGCUAAAUUCAUUCAAGUAUAGACAUCACAAUAUGGCAACUAAUUACAUAACAAUUAAUGAUGUAAUAAUUAUGUCAUAAUGAAAUUAUCACAAUUUGAAAGAUUAAUCCUUCUUCUUUCUUUUGGUACCUCAUUUACAAAAUUUAAAGAAAGAUGAGCUACUUCAACUAAUGUUUCCUCUAGGUCGCACAGGGCAUUGGAAGUUGUGACAUUGUGAAUGACGUCAUCUAAUUCGACGAAAACUUGGCAUUCUUUAUGGCUUUCUAUGAUACAUUUGCUGCAGCAGGGAAAUUCUGCUUCUGGCAAUAGAAUUGAUACUUUUUAUCAUGUUUAUUACAGUUUUGACUGAUCAUUAGUACAGCAGCUGGUAAUUUAGUGUAUUCAGUAAUUGGUAUGACUUGAUGGUUUCUGGUUCCUUUUGACAAAUUAUGAUGCUCCUGGCAUUCAAUACGUAGUCCCUCAUCACAUUCUGUACACCAGACUAUUGAUGGUUUCGUAAUGUGACAAAGUUCACAAACACCACAGGUUUUAGAAGCUGUUGCCAUUUAACACACACUGCAAAUAACAAUAAUUAUAGCUGAUUUAAAACAACACCACCUCAAUUAAUCCGACAUCAAACAUGGUAACUUAAUUUAUUUUCCUGUCGAAGAGAGUUGACUCAGGCUUUCAGGUUUUCUACAUCAAUUUAAACAGGUUUCCUAAUAUAUCCAUGAGUACUGAAAAUUGAGUUUAAUAUCAAUACUCAAUCUCUGAAAUAAUUCUCAUUUAUCUCAUUUGACAGUUUUUUUUAUUCAAAAUGAAAAUGAAUUUGAAUAAUUGGAGCUUGUGAAUAGUACAGGGUCAAACAUUUAGAAUGAAUUAAACCGGGCCUUAAACUUUUAUAAAAGAUUAUGGAAAUAUAUAUAAAAAUCUGUUCAGAUUUGCUUUAAGUCUAAAGUUUAGUUAUUUUGUAGUUUAGGGUCUCAAAUAGUUAUUUUGCGUAUUGGAUUGGCAACUAGAUAUAAUUAAUCUUGAUUUCAGCUUAAUACAAGUCAGCUAUUUUAAUCGAUCAUUUGAUUGAAAGUGUAAGUUUGAUAAUAUUGAUAUAUGAAUUGUUAAUCAAUUAUAAAGCUAUAAUAUGUUAAAACAAUUAAAAAAAUUCCUACAGAAGAAUGUGUUAAAUGAUCAUAUUUACGUAUUUUGGCUUUUUUUUGUGGAUUCACAUUUGGUGUAAAUAUACUGGAAACUUUUCUGAUCUAAUAUUAAUCGAUGAUAUAUAUAAUACAUCAGAUAAAGUUCCAUUUCCUAAACCUGCUAAAUGAAUGAUUCCGUAAACGUGUAUAUAUGUAGUUCCAAUGAUUGAUGGUAUUAUACAGAUCGAAUUUCGUGUACAAAUGAAGAUAUUAUGAACGAAAAAAAUAACUUGCUCUAGAAUUGGGACAUAACAUAUAUAAAUGAAGAUAAUUAUGGAUUAUGUCCAAGCCCAAAACGAAAGUAAAAUAAAUCAUUCUACAAAUUUAACGUGUUUAGGUCAUUAGUUUAUUAGUUUAUUAGAAAGAAUUCAAAACAUAACAAAAGAAAGAAUUUAUCGUGGACUUAACAAAUAAAUCAUAAAAAUUACCUUUUUACUUUAAAAUAUGCAUUCCUCGUAUGGUUUACCAGCUCGAGUUUAUCAGGAAGGUCAUUAAUUAUUGAUUGUUUCAGAAAGUGAAAAAAGCCACAAAUUUUGAAUUUUAAAAUACACAUUAACAAGUUGGGUUGUAUUGGAAAUAAACGUAAUCAUUUUGGACAUGUUCUAUGUUCGUUUUAAUUUCAUUUUUUUAAAACUUAUUUCAGCAUUUCAGAAUAAGCUAAAACGGACAUUUUGCCAUUGAAACCGUACGGAUUAUCUUUGAUAUCUUUUAAACUAAAAAAAGUUAAACGGACAUGAUAAAAUGAUCAUCAGGUCAAGACCAUCCAUGUUGAUAUAUUCAGAUAAAUUGUGAACAGCCCCAUUUAACUGUUAUAGCCUCGGAAUUUUUCAUUCGUUGAAUAAUCCCAGCUAGUUGUGCUUUAGCUUAAGGACUAGUAGACGGAAAAAAAUAAAGCAGCACACAUUAUCAGGAGACAGCCUAUACAAACCAGUCCGAUCACACUUAUUAGCGACAAGAACUUGAAGAAGAACAUAUUCAGGAUAAGAAGAAGCGUGAAGAAAGUUUAUAUACUAUAUAAACAAAAACAAACAAAAAAAUAAAAUAAAAAAGUCAAUAAAUUACAGUUGAUUAUUUAUCUUUUGAAAAGUUUAAAGCAAAUAAUCAAAUCGUCAGUUAAGAAUAAAAGGUAAUGACCUUAAAUUACAAUGUUUACCAAUAUUGUCGUUUUUUUUUGUUGGUAUAUCAAACUUAAAAUUUUAUCCUAAACAUCUAUAACAAAUGGUUACAAAUCAAGAAAAAGUCAACAUGAUUGAAAUCAUCAGUUGACCACUUGCUAUUUGAGUGUUUGUCCUUCAAUGUCGAUAUCAAUCACAUUUUGGCAAAAAAAAAGGACAAAGAAAGAAAAAAUUUCAGAUCUACGCAUGGACAAAAUGAUUAAAACAACUUAAUAGUAGCAAGAUGAUUAUUUUAACGAUUUCAUGGGAAACACGAUAUAACGUCUGAUUUCAAGGAUAUGCACUACGUUUACACUCCUUGAAUCCGCCACUGCAGUUAGAAAUAUAUUUCAGGUUUGAUUUUUCUCUGUUGUAAAGAUCUCAUGCUUGCAUUUUUUUUCAGUAUUUGGUGAAUACAUUUUUCGUCAUUUUCUUUUUUUGUGGAAAAAACAGUUUUUGUUUUUAAUUGAGACUGUGUCAUGAUUAAUACUACUAUUUAUAGUUUUAUAUAUAACAUGUAUAAAUUGUUUUGGAGAACUGAUACCUAAAUAAAGAUAUAUUUGUAAUUCUUAUAUUGAAAUAUAUGCGAGUUCCUUUAAAAUUAUUGGAGAUACUUAAAUUUCUCUCCUAUUAAGAUAUUUGAAUUUUUUCCUGAUAUUAAUAUUGAUAAUACAUACGAAAAUAACAUUAUAUACAUGUGGUGCUUCUAAAAACCUUUUAUGGAUAAAACUUGUUCAGGAACAUUAAAAUCAAAACCUAUCAAUAUUAGUAACUAAAAAACAGACUUGAUCCUUAUACAAUUAAAACAUCUUGUGAAAGAUGAAGCAUGAAUUUUAGGUCAUGGUCAUAACUAAUGUUAAACUGACAUUACAUAAUUGAAUUUUUGAAGAAAAAAAAUAAGGCUUUUCUACCUCAGGAAUAGAUUACUUAGCUGUAUUUGGCAUAACUUUUAGGAAUUUUUGUCCUUAAUGCUCUUCAACUUCGUACUUUAUUUUGCCUUUUUAACUUUUUUGGAUUCAACCGUCACUGAUGAGUCUUUUGUAGACGAAACGCGCGUCUGGCGUAUAUACAAAAUUUAGUCCUGGUAUCUAUGAUGAGUUUAUUUGCAAACAAUCCUCAUACAUAUUGUAAGUCGCUCAAUUAUAGUCAGAAAGGAGGAGGCUUCAUUAUGACACCAUGGUUACAAAUAAUAUUCAGGUCAAGGUUAUAUGACAUAUCUCAGAUGAUCUCAGAUGAACACAUGUUUCCUUAUAUAUCACAUGAAAACUACAAACCAAAAUAAUGUUGACCUAUCCUGUAAACUUAUAAAGGAAUAGUCUACACCUCGCAAGCUUAAAAUUUACCACUGAAGUAUGACUUAUGUCUUCUUCCAAACCAAUCAAGGAACCCAUUGAUGUUGAUUUAUCAUGAAAAAUACAAAAUGCACAUACUACAAACGUUUAGCUAAUCGCUGAAUCAUGACAGUUUAUUCUCUCAAAUUAUCACCAAACAAGGUGAUAAAGACAAUCAUUCAUACUUUUAUAGGCAUAGACUUCAACUUAUAAUGAGACCUGUCAGCUCAAGCAUAUGCGUUUGAACGAAAAUGUUGUAUUAUAUGAUCAUUAUCAUUAGUUUUGUAACUACAUAAUUAUAUAUUCAUUUAUUAUGAUUUUUUAGAUUUAUAUACCUUUUGUUAUUCUAUUGGCGAUCUUUAUAAGUCGUAUCUCGCCAUAUGUGCACGUGAUGUCCCAAUAAAGAUAAUUUGUCAAUAUUUAUAUUUUGUCAUGAAAAAAUAUUUGUAUCUGGAAAAUUUUGUGCUGGAUGGUAGUUUAUAAAUAGUAGCAAUAAUAUCAGUGACCCACGUCAUUUGGUCGGUGGUAGGUAGUUCCCUCAUUUGCAAACACACCACAUAUCGUUGUUUUAUUUCUAUAAACAUGAUAAAAUGUAUUUACCAUGUUUACCGGCAACAUCGUUUCUGGUUCGUGAUGAUACUAGUGUUCUCAUUCCAUUAAAUGUAUUAGAAUACACAUGUUUAAUGAAAUAACAGCAAUAACUAUACAUAAUUUGUAAAUGAAUACGUUUAAAACACACACUACAUAUUAUAUUUCUGUCAGAAAGUAACUAAAUAGGUUUCAAAAUUCUAGAUAUUUUAAUCACUGCUCAGAAUGACCUAAAGUUUAAGAAGUUUUAACUUUGAAUUUGUUUAAAUAACAUCAAACAAAUGAGCAUUGUAAUUGAAGUUCGCGAUAAGCAGCUGGUUCUUUGAUCCACUAUAAUGAAGCGAGGCAGGAUCUUCAAGGCCAUAACUUGCUGUCAAUACUUCUCUAUGUCGUUGUCCAUCAGGAGAGAUAACAACAACGUUGUUUGAAGUGCUCCCUGUCACAAACACAUUACCAUCAUUAUCUACAUCAAUACCUCGAGGAGAUUUAAGAACGGUUACGUUACGGAAAUUCCAUUGUAUUUCUCCUUGUCGAUUAUAACAUGUUACAGUGUGUGUUUCAUUGUUUGUAUGAUAUAUACUGUUCUUAAAUGUUGCAAUGCAACAUUGUGUUGGCAUUAUGUCUCGGACUAUGUCACGUAUAGACUCGUCGUCUAGAUUGAUCAUUCGUAUACCUUUGUCGUAACCGGAAUAAAUCAAUCGGUUAUCUUUCAAUGCAAUGCCAAAACUAUUCCGAAUCCAGUGAAAUUAUUUUCUUGAUUUGUUUCUUCUCCAAGUCGAUAAUAGUAAUACACUUCUAUCUGUGAAUAACCAGAUGUGACAGCCAAUGUAUUGUCCUCACUGAUAAACACUAAAUCAAACGGGUAAACCGGCAUCUUCACCUCAAAGUCUUUCAAUCCUUUCAUGUUAAACACAAUUACCUUACAAUCCGAGUUGUAAGUAAAUGCUAUUCUACCAUCCGGCAACAUGCAACAUCCGUAAAUUAAUUCUCCUUGAGUGUUGAUGGUCUUUUGUUUCGUAAACUUUAUAUUUUCAAUGGCUCUUGAUUGAACGGUCGGUACCAUCCUUUGAGCUUGUUUAUCCUUUUUCCUAGUAAUAACUAUAUCGCAAGAUUUAGCUUCAAUACGCACAUCUCCAAAACUUAUGAUAUCGGACAUGAUAUUUUGGAUAGAGGUGUUGAUCUUAUAUGAAAGAGAAGUUUUGGUGAAAAUCUUGUCUUCUUCAAGCGACUGAGAGAAUUUAUUUUUGCUAUAGACGUACCCUUCUAUUUGCUUUAUUGAAAGAAAGACUUGAAGGUCUGUUGCAUGUUGUUUAAUAUUCAUAAUAUUUCUCUUGCAUUCUGCUAUUUCCUUUUCAUUAUUUUCUAAUGAUGACAAUAACUGACCAAUUUUCGACUUUUCUUUUUCUUCUACUGCAUACAGUUGUUUAAUUAAAUCCUCUUGUAGUUUGUCAAGAUGGUUGUUGAUCUUUAUUCUGGUCAUCUUUAUUUCUUUUUCUAUUUCCUUUCUACUUUCUUCUAAUGUCGUCAGGUUGUCCUGUUGAUGCUGUCGAAUCUUCUGUAGAUUUUCUGCAACUUCAAAUAAUGUUUCCUCUAUUUCGCAAACGUCAUUGGAGGUUUUGACAUUGUGAAUGACGUCAUCUAAUUCGACGAAAUCUUGGCAUUCUUUAUGGAUUUCCACGAUACAUUUGCUGCAGCAGGGGCAUUCAUGCUUCUGGCAAUAAAAUUGAUACUUUUUAACGUGUUUACUACAGUUUUGACUAAUCAUUAGUACAUCAGCUGGUAAUUUCGUGUAUUCAGUAAUUGUAAUCACUUUAUGGUUUCUGGUUCCUUUUGACAAACUGUGAUGCUCCUGGCAUUCUGCACAUAGUCCCUCGUCACAUUCUGAACACCAGACUAUGGAUGGUUUGGUGAUGUGACGGAGUUCACAAACACCACAGCUCAUAGAAGCUGCUGCCAUUUCACACACACUGCAAAUAACAAUAGCGGAUUAAAAAGUUUAAAACAACAGCACCUUCAUCAACCCCCUAACAUAAAACCUGGUAGCUUAUUUAAUUUAUCCUGUUGAAGUGUAUUGACUCAGGCACUCUGGUUUUCUACAUCAGUUUAAACAGGUUUCAUAAUAUAAUAAUGAGCACUGAAAAUGCGGUUUAAUAUCAAUAAACAAUCCAUCGGCAUAAUUAUCAUUUAUCUCAGUCUACAGUUCUUGAAAUCCAAAUGAAAAUGAAUUUGAAUGACAGAUUCUUGUGUAGAGUAUAGUGUCAAAUAUUUGUUGUCAAAUAAAAAGAAUUGAUCAAAAUCGGGUGUUAAUACUGUGUCUCAACCACACCGACAAAAAAUAUUUGGACUCGAAUGUAUCUAAUAUCCGGCACGGUGACGGAACAUUAAUAGAAUAGAAAAUGUAGGUUUUUGUUUAUUUAUUUGCUAUUUUUAUGAUAUCGAAGAACAUGUAUACAUUAUUUUAACUUUGAGUUUCUUGUGUACAAUUUGGAGUUUAGUAUGGCGUUCAUUAUCACUGAACUAGUAUAUACUUGUUUAGGGGCCAGAUGAAGGACGCCUCCGGGUACGGGAAUUUUCGUUGCAUUGAAGACCUGUUGGUGACCUUCUGCUGUUGUCUGCUCUAUGGUCGGGUUGUUGUCUCUUUGGCACAUUCCCCGUUUCCAUUCUCAAUUUUAUAUAUAACUAUUUUCUAUUAUGAGGUGUAAUAUUUUCUACAACAGUUCAAUAUUAACGGAGAACUAAGUAAAAAUGCAUGUCAAAAUGACAAAUUGAGUGAACCUUGUCUCAAAUUUGUUUAAUAUCUCGUUAAAUUGUUCACAUUGUACGUUAAGGAAGGUAUGAAAAGAAAGAUAUUGACACGUAGAUUGCAAAACUAGACACUAUGAGCGCCUCGAUACUUGUAUUUCUGUGUAUGGAAGGAAAGAAAUAGGUCAAAUGAAAAUGGAAGAGGUCGGUUUGGUCAAUGUUGUUUACUACACAAUCACCCGGUUUUGUCUAUGAAUAUCACCCGGUUUUGUUUGUUUUGAAACCAUAAAUUUUAUGAAAAGCAACGCUAACACGGAUCUUAACAUUAUCCAUCGAAAUGCAACAUAAAUAUGACUGUUAUUGUAAAACAAUUUCACUUGCGUUUUUUCAACAAAAAUUCAUUCUACUUUCAAUGCAUUAUUUACAAGAGUGUACGCACUGACAUGAAGCGACUGCUUGAAUUAUCGUAAUUAAAUCUAUUUUGAAGAUCUGUAACUUAAGAUAUAUAAUUUAAUCAAAGUACUGAAGUACUGAACAUAGGACGACUGCACGUUCUUGUGGAGGUUUCAUUAAGCAGUUGUCUCAGAAAAAAAUCACAUCUCUAUACCUGAAAGUGGGGUUAAUGUACGGAUAUAAAAAAAAAUCUGGAACAAGUUCGUGCUUGGAUGAUAAAUUAAUGACAGGGAAUUCAUUCUCACCGUAAUGACUAUUAUAUUGUAGUGAUACAAAUCAGUAAACUCUGGUUUGUUGUCCGUUAUAUAUAUUAAUACUUGUAUAUUACAGUUACAAGUAUAUAUAAUUUUCAUGCAUUUAUUUAUCAUUUAUUCUACUAUAUUUUUAAUAGUACAGUGCAAGUGCAGGGUGGACACGUCACUCCUCUGUAAUUAUUCGUUUUUUCUAAUAGAAUGGAUUUGAGUAGGCAUUCGUAUUUUGCCGCAAAAAAAUGUUUUAUCAUCCAUGCAGAGUUAUAGUUCCUUGAGAUUGCAAACGUUCCUGAGAUAUUCUUCCGCAUGCGUGUGCAUAUAUAUUAAUGAUUUUUUUUUAUUUAUAUGUAUAUACAUAUAACAAAACAAAAAAUAAUAUUAUUAAUUUAUCUUCUUUAAAAAGUUUUUGAUGAGUAUUCAUUGAAGAAAUGAAUUUAUAACAAGCGAUAAGGAAUGUUAGCUUGCAUCUGAUGAUGUCUACGUAUUCAUCAUGUUUAUAGAUCGGUUAAAAACCCAAAACGAAUAUAACGUCAUGGAAUUUUAGGACAUUGCAAUACACCGGAAUGCCCUCACGGUCUUUCGCUGUUAUAAAAGGAUCACAUAAACUUAACAUUGUUCAUGGAACCAUAAAAAAGUCAAGGUGUAAUGAAACCUAUCAGAUGGACAUGAACACAUUACAAUGACAAAAAUAAAAAACUUAACCUUAACUAAUAAACCAAUGAAAUAAGUUCAUGGUUAUAUAAUAGUCCUGUGGCCAUAUGAGCAAACACGGUUGACCUAUUACUUAUGGUACUAGAGAUACGGACUUGUGUUACAUAUUUGUUUUUCUUGUUUAAAUUGUUUUAUAUUUGUGAUUUCCGGGCCUGUUAUUGCUGAAUAUGCGGUAUAUGUUUUGCUCAUUAUUAAAGCCCGUGUGGUGACGUGUAGCUGUAGAUUUCUGUGCUAUUUGGUCUGUUGUGGAGAGUUGUCUCAUUGCCAAACAUAUCACAUCUACUUUUUUCUUUAUAUUGAACACAAAAUAUUCACCUUGAUCAUGGAUAUCAACCAUUAGGGAACGACCAUUUAACUUCCAGGAGGUGGCUAGUUUUUUUUCUCUAAAAAAAAUUAUUCCGAUCCACAAUUUGAUGAACAAAAAAUAUUCUGGUCAAGCAGAUUUCCCCUUUAACUAAUAAUGUUUUAUAUUAAAGAAAGAAUCUGAUUGAUAGCGUCGAAGAAACUUAAUAAAUCUGUUUGUGAUUUAUGUUCUAACGAAAAAAAACAUUAACCACCCCCUUUCCCCUUUGAAGUUAAAUGGUUGCUCCCUUAUCAGUGUGACAUUCACAGCUAUUUAUUUUGAUAGGAAAUCGCUAAACUAUGAAAAUGAGGUCAAGGGCAAUGGUCAUAUGACAGAUAGAAGCAUAGUAAAAUAAAAGAUCUGUGUGCUAGGUUUGUUGCAGCCAGGCCUUCUCACUUCUGACAUAUGAAGCCUCAUACAAAAUAGUUCAAGCUACCAUGAAUUUGCAUCCAUUGGUCUCGUAUUUCGAUGAUUCUAAAAUAUCAAUGUGAAUUUUUAAACCCCACCUGUGAAAGCCUUUAAAAAUCAAAUUUAUUUUUUUUACGAUUUUGUAUUAGCAUAAAACAUGUAAAAUCUCAAAUACAUUUGUCUUCCUAUCAUGUCUUAUAAUAAACACUUACCCUUAAGAAGAUCUAUUCUAAACAGGGACUUUCUAGACUUUCUAGCAUAGACAGUCCUUGUUUUAAACGACCAUAAGAAAGAUUACGCCCCUUGUUAGCGGGGAGUAACGAGCACGAAUUUGUUCUACAUUUGCGCGAUUAGAUUGGAUUACAUAUAACUAUAAUCAUCCUGUUGUGCAAGAAAUUCACAUAUCAAAUGUGCGUGUUAAAUUGUUAAGACCGUAAACUGUAAUUUCAAAUUUGAUCACUUUAGUUCACAUGUUUCAUAUAAACACGUAUAGAGAACUUAAAUAUCAAUUUGCGUUAUAACCUUCAUUUCUAUAAAUUUGGCAGUUAAGAUAUUUUUUUGAUAGAAAGGCAAACAUUUUUCUUUUUUUUAUAGUUCCAAUAAAAAUGUUUAAGUAGGAAUUAAAGUGUUUACAGAUUCUUACAAUCAAUAAGUUGUCCUCUCAAAGAAAUCGUUUUCCAAGGAGCCACCAGACUCCUUUAAAACGCCGAAGUUCAAUUUUGUUAUACAUUAUGCAUUGUUUUCUUUGACAAAACCGGGUUCUACCUUGAGAAAUCUAGGACAAAACCGGUUGUACACAUUGACCAAACCGGCCUCUUUCAUUUUGACAUGACCCAUUUCUUUCAUUCCAAACACAGAAAUACAAGUUUCAAGGUGCUCAAAGUGGCUAGUUUUGCAAUCUCUGUGUCAAUAUCUUUCUUUUCAUACCUUUCUUAAUGUACAAUGUGACCAAUUCAACGAGAUAUUAACCAAAUUCGAGACAAGAUUCACUCAAUUCGUCAUUUUGAUAUGCAUUUUUACUUAUUUCUCCUUUAAUAUAGAACUGUUGUAGAAAAUAGUACACCUCACAAUAGAAAAUAGUUAUAUAUGUAUACAUUUUUUCGAUAUCAUAAAUUAGCAAAUAAAUAAACAGAAACCUACAUUUUCUAUGUCUAUAAAUGUUCCGUCACCGUGCCGGAUAUUAGAUGCCAUCGGGUCCAAACAUUUUUUGUCGGUGUGGUUUAGACACAGUGGUUAAACGUUUUAGUAAAGAUUAUCGAAAUAUAUAUAACACGAGUCUGUCGAGUGACAGCAAACUCGAUUUCCCUGUAGAGGUCUAACCCAGUUGUGCAAGUAUGGACACAACAUUUCAGCUCAUAUUUUGGAUUGUGAUUGGAUAUUUAGAUAGAUUAUUAUCUAAUAAAUAAUGAAAUUUAUAUUUGCAAAUCUGAACCCCAAACAGAAUCAUGUAAACAUUGAACAUUAACUUUCAAAACCAAGAUAAACUAUCACAUAUUAACUAUGCCAUAUACCUUCAUUACACACAUGACUUACAAAAUUAAUUUUGACAAAAACUUAUGUUAUGAUUACUAACUCGUGGAAUAAAUUUGAGUUAUUUCCACUUGAACAGAAAUCAAUUUUAGAUAAUAAAGCAAAUGUAUUUCUCUAAAGUUAGAUAAAAUGUUACACAAUGUAUAUCAAUUUUCAUAUUAUUAUCCAUUAUAUUUAAUAGUUUCAAAUAUUUCAUUUGUCACAAACUAAUAUAGAUCUGCAACUUAUCUAUCACGUCAACAACUUUAUCUACACAGUGUAAUGUAAUCAAAUAUAUCCUUUAACUUAAAUAUAUUAUUAUCUUAUCAAAGGUGUUCACGUCAUCAAUUGUUGUUAUUUAUAUAGUAUUCAGAAAAUUAAUUUGUUCAGAAUAACAAACAAAUCUAACACAAAAUUCUUCAAACAAUUUACCAAAGAAUUUACAUUAACACAAUAUCUUUCGAUUUUUUUUAGUUAUUUCCCUUUGUACAGAAGUUGAGUAAUUCAUAAAAAAAAUUUGGGAAAGGGCUGUAACUCAACAAUGAGAAAAGUUAACAUGGUGAAAACUAAACUUGACCUUCAUUAGUCACAGGAAACAACAUAAAUUUCAAAAUUUCAAAAAAAAAAAUCGUUUUCAUGUUAUUAAACGGACACUGUUUGCGGCCGCAACCCCGCCCACCCUACAUCCCAAAAUCAAAAACCUAGUUUCCUAAGAUAUUCCGUUUAAAGAUUUAGUUCAGAUUUGCUAUAAAGUUCAGUAUUGAUGGGUUUCAAAAGUUAUUUUGCGUAUUGUGUCUUGAUUUUAGUCUAAUACAAAAAGCUAUUUUCAUCGAUCAUUUGAUUGAAAGAGUGCGUUUAAUAAUAUAUGUAUAUGCAUUGUUAAUCUAAUAUAAAUAAAUAUAAUGAUGAAAUCCUGGUAAUGUAGACAAAUAGAUAAAUGAAUUAUUUGAGCAUUAUAUUUAUGCAUUAAAAUCUCUUAUUUUCGUUUUUGUUUUAUUACAAAAAGGAGAAUAAACUACAAUCUGUAUUGAUACUAUAUAUAUAUAAUGUCUAAAAAUAGCAACAAUCAACAUUCAAGCUAUCUAGGCGUGGAUCAGUUUGUAAAUAAAUUGAUACAGUUACUAAAUUAAGUUAUUUAAGUGCCUAAGAAUGUAACUUUAACACACUAAUGAGUGUUAUAAAAUUAGUUGUUAUAUUUUAUGUAACAUUACUGUUGAUGAAAAAAUAUCUCUAUUGGUCAAUAAUAGCUCAGCAUUAUUACUUAGACUGUCUUCCUUUUUCAGAUCAGAGUGUCUAAAUAUAAGAAAUAGUGAACUUAUAUGAUACAUCGAUCAUUUUGUAACUUUUCAUAAUUUAGCAUGAUAAGUUAUCAUGGAACCUUUCAUUCUACCAUGUCAAUUAUUAUGGUUGUAUAUAAUGCCAUAGGUCUUAACCAUUUAUUGUUAAUGAGUUUGUACCAAUAAAAAUAUUUGUAUUUGUAUUUGUAUAUUAUUCACGCUUAUAUAUAUAUAUAUAUAUAUAUGUGUACUCGUUGUAUUAGUACACAAUAAAGAUAGAGAGUUACUGUUCUUUGCAUUUUUUUAAAGCUAUUAGAUGUUAAAACAAUUAAAAAAAUUGAAACAAAAGAAUAAGUUAAUUGAUUAUAUGUACGUGUUUUUGUUUUACAGUUGGUGUAAAUAUGUAGGAUCAUUUACCUGUGUUUUGAUAUAAAUCAAUGAUACAUAUACAAGAUAAAGUUCAAUUCCCGAGUCAAUUCCCUGAACCUGCUAAUUGAAUGAUUCCGUAUCACAAUUUUAGGACGACCAUGUUUCACUCGAAAAUAUGUUAAUUCUAUUUUUUCUAAUUUUUGAAAUUUUUGUUGAAAAUAUGUUUUUGAAAUAAUAAAAAAUCCAAAAUUCGUUAGCGUUUUUCCCUAAAUCAAGGUUUUGAAGAGAAAAAAUAACAAUAAAAUAUUGGACCAAUUUACCUUGGUAUAGUGUAUCCAAUUUCAUAAUUUAUGAAAAAUACAUUGCCUUGUAUCGUUUCUUUUGUUGACUAGUGUAUGUAUUUGUUGUAUUUGUACACAAUAAAGAGAGAGUUAUGGUUCUUGACUUCUAACGGAUAUAUUUUUUUGAAAAAAUUACAAAAAUAAUUGUACAAAAGAAUUUUUAAAAAAAUAAUCAUAUUUACGUGAUUUUGAGUUUUUUUGUGGGUUCACAUUUAUUGUGAAUAUAUGGGAAACUUUACCUGUGUUCUGAUAUUAAUCAAUGAUAUAUAUAUAUAAACAAGACAAAGUUCCAUUUCUUGAACCUGCUAUUUGAAUGAUUUCGUAAACGUGUGUAUAAUGUAGUUCAAAUGAUUGGUAUGAUGCUAUACAGAUACAAAUUUCGUGUAAAAAUGAAGAUAUUAUGGACGAAAACAAUAACUUGCCCUAGAAUUGGGACAUAACAUAAAUUAAGAUAAAUAUGGAUUAUGUUCAAGUCCAAAACGAAAGUUAAAUAAAUCAUUAUUCACAUUUCACAUAACAAUUUAAGUCAUUAUUUGAUUAGGAAGAAUUGACAAAAUAAACAAACGAAAUAAUUUAUCGGAAAUAUUAUAUAGAUCCUAAAUAUUACCUUUUACUUUGAAAUAUGCAUUCCCGUCUGGUUUACCUGGGAGGUCGUGAAUCAUGUGACUGUUUCAGAAAGUGACAAAAGCCGCGAAUUUUAAACUUCAAAUACAUUUUAAAAAUAAUGAUAGGGUUGUGUUGGAAAUUAAUCUUUGUGGACAUAAAUUAUCUAUUUUUCUUUCGACUUUUUUUUAUUAUUUUUUUCUUCCUCUUAUUUAUUUUAUUUUUACAAGAUAAGCAAAUCGGAAACUUUGUCUGUGAAAACCGUACCCAUUUUCUUUAAUCUUUUUAACUAAGAAUUUUUAAACGAUAAAAUGUAAAUGAUCUGGUAGCAAGUUAAUAUAAUCAACGUUGAAAUUUUCAGAAAAAUUGGACAUUCCCAUUAGGGGGUUAUUGCUUCGGAAUUUUUUUUAUUCUUUUUAGUAGUUUUCUGUUGCCCAAAUCUAAAACUAGUAGACCAAAAAAAAAUUAAACAGCAACAAAUAUUGGCAAGACAACCUCUACAAACGAAUCCGGUCUCACUAAAAAAGUGACAAGAAGAAAACAAUAGUCAUGAGGAACAAGAAGAUGUUUUUAGUCUCAAGAAAGUUAGUAUUCUAUUUAAAGAAAAAGAAAAAGAAACAAAGUUAAAGACAUAUAAAGACAAUUUUCAACUAGGUUUUAUAGCUUUUUCUUUGAAAAUUAGUCAAUAAAGAUAUUUGUUAAAAAGGAGAUUAAGAAAAAUAGGGGCGUAAAUGGCCUAAAUUGUAGAAAUUUUGGCAACCGUAGCAACAUGAAUUUUUCAUCAUUUUUAUGGGAACUUCAUAUCACGUCUUAUUUAAAAGGAGUGGACAUCGUCUAUAGUCUUUGGAACCGCCACUGCAGUUAGAAAUACAUAUAUCUGGUUUGAUUUCUCUAUGGUAUGAAAAUCUAAUGCAUGCAUAUUUUUCAGCAUUUUGUGAAUACAAUUUUCAUCAUUUUCUACAAGCUUUCAAUUCAAAUUGGAAAUCAGCUGUUUUGAAUAUGACCAAUAACACCUGUAUUUGUUGUAUGCAUAUGGUCAAAAUCUUUGAGUAUUCAAAUCCUAUUGAAAAUUUGAUAUCAAAGAGUCUAUAUUAUAUACUUUUAAUAUUUUUACAGCAUUUUUGCAUUUUGUUUUAAUCCUAUUGAAUUGUACAUGUUUUUAAGAGUUAUGUCUGAACCAUAACAGGUAUUUGUAUCGAAGCAUUAGUAAUAUAACAAUUAAUUCGUGUUAUAACCUAUAUUAUUUUGCUGGUGUUGUUUUAUUUUAGAUUACUAUUUUGUUUAUAUGCAUUGCAAACCAUAAUCUUGGCAAACAAAAGUGUUAUAGAAUUAAGAUUUAAAACAUACAAACAGCUGAUAUCUUUUACACUUCCAGAAUACAGAAUGUACUACAUCCUGUUUAUACUCACUGUACGUUUUCUCGUUUUAUUAACAAGAUUAAGUUUUCAGUGUGAAAUUCCCGUUAACGUGAUGUUUGAUUUUCAUGUCUGAGUUUAACUUGUCUUUUUUUCUCUCUGAAUUUCACCUUAUUGAGUGACUCACUUGCUCUUUGAUUGUAUUACAUUCAAGAAAUGUAUAAUGGUAAGCUGUACACAAAAACGUAUAAGAUAACAAAUAUUAAAAAGCCAUUUCCGCUACUACUAAAUUGGCUUCUGUGAUAUAUAAUUAUACUUUUGUUUAAUUUCAUUUAUUCAGGCACAUUGCUUUUUAGUAAAAUGAAAUAUUUUAAAUUAUAUUUGAAAUAACUGUAGCAGGUAUUUCUAUUUUAUUAUUCUCAUUGAGCUGUGUCUCGGUAUAAAAUCGUGUUAACUUUCUUUAAAGAAAAAAAUCAAGCAUGCAAGUUCUCUUUUCUCGAAUAAAACAAAUAAAACCGAAAUAUUUGUAAAAUAAAUCUUUUAAUGACGAAUUUCAAAAAGAAAAAUUUUGCAAAGACAUAUCGAUAUGCCGAAAUAAAUCAGCAUUAUUUUAAUUGUGAAUUCGCAUCCGAUGAUUGGAAAAUUGUCCUAUUGAAAACGUCGUUUCCCGAAAAUCGGAAAUUUAGUGUUAGAUUAGAUAAAUUUUUAGAUCUUGAACAGUAAGAUUGAUAGGAAAGUUGAAUAUUGAUUUAAAAAUUUGGAUUCAUUAAUUAAAUUAUCUAUAGCGUUCCACGAGAAACAAGACUACCACAUUGAAGCAUCAUCCAUCUCAGUUUGUGUCUCCUGCGUCUUUGUCAACAUACUCUGAAAGUAAGCGGUAUAAAUAUGCAACGUGUUGUUUACAAUAGUUCCCAACAUAUGAGGCAACUAUUUGUAUUUCAUUCCUAUUUUGUUUUUUUCAGUAUAAGCAGCCAUGAUAAUUGUUAACCAAUUGUUAUGAAAUUAACAUAACCUACAUGUAAUGAUCCUUCAUGUCAAGUUUAUAACGUAUAUUGAUUCAGUUCACAUUUUUAAUAGCUAUUUAAUGAAAUUUACUCUCAAGUUUAGCAACGCAUAUGAGAGUGUAAAAAUUCAUGGUCUCUAAUUAGCAGGUAAUGCUAUUCCACCUGCUAUCAGUAACUAUUAGCAUUCUUGAUAACGCAUAAUGCUUUAUUGUACUUCGUUUUUUACUAUUUAUUGCAUGUUGUAUGAUUAUGGUUAUACAGCCGUUAUAUCAUCAAUUUUUAACUUUUCGUAUUUAACGGUUUUAUCAUUACAUGAACCUACUAUUGUUACAUUGACGAUUCAUACUCGUCUAACUUCGCCACAUUGUGUGUGUUCCUGUCCCAAGUCAGGUAGUUUAUCAAUAGUUGUAUUUUGUCAUGAAAAGUAUUUGUAUCUAGAACAUUGGGUGCUGGAUGAUAGUUUACUACAAGUUCCAAUAAUCACAGUGAUCUACAGCUGCUUAAAACUAAUGUCAUUUGGUAUAAGGUGAAUAAAUACCUAAUUUACAAUCACACCUCAUUUCAUUGUUUUAUUUCUAUUAAAAUUAUUUACUGGUACAAUCGGUUCGUGAUAAUGCUCUCAUUCCAUCAAAUUUAUAAGAAUACACAAGUUUAAUAAUACAAGAACAAUAACUUUAUUUAUUUGGUGAAUUAAUAUAUUUAAAACACGCACUUCAUACUAUAUUUCUGUCAGAAAGUAAAAACAUAGGUUUUAAGUAUCUAGGUAUUACCAACAUUGCACCGAAGGUCCUAAGUUACAAAAGUUUUAACCGAAAACUAGUUUAAACAACAUCAAAUAACCGAGCCAUAUGUUACAGACGUUCGCGACUAGCAACUGAUUCUUUGAUCCACUAUAAUGAAGUGACAUAGGGUUACUGAGACCAUCAUCUGUUGUCAAUACCUCUCUAUGUCGUUGUACAUCAGGAGAGAUAACUACAGCAUUGUUUGAACUGUACCUCAUCACGUAUAUAUUACCAUCACCAUCGACAUCUAUACCUCGAGGAUUCUUCAGAACGCUUUUAUUUUGGAAUCUCCAUUGUAUUUCCCAUUGUAGAUUAUAACAUGUGACAGUGUUUUGUAGGUUGUUUGUAUGAUUAUGAUAUAUCAUGUUAAAACAUGUUGCAAUGUAAGAUUGAGGGGGUAUUUUGUCUCGGACUAUGCCACUAAUAGAUUCGUCGUUAUGGUCGAUCAUUCGUAUUCCUUUGUCGUAACCGGAAUAAAUCAAUCGAUUACCUUUCAAUGAUACUCCAUAAUUAUACGAACCCAGUAAAAUUGUUUAUUGAUUUGUUUUUUCUCAAAGUCGAUAAUGGUUAUACACCUCUUCUGAACUACCAGAUGUAACAGUCAAUGCAUUGCUUUCACUGAUGUUCACUAUAUCAAAUACAUUACACUUCAAAAUCCUUUAAUCCGUUCACGUUAAAUACAGUUACCUUACAAUUAUAGUAGUAAGUAAAUGCAAAUCUACCAUCUGACAGCAUGCAAAAUCCGUAGAUUGAGUGUCAUUGAUUAUUGAUGGUCUUUUGUUUCGUUGACGUUAUAUUUUCAAUGGGUCUUGUUUGAACGGUCGGUACUAUCAUUGUGAAUGACGUCAUCUAAUUCGACGAAAUCUCGACAUUCGGUAUGGCUUUCCACGAUAUAUUUGUUGCAUCAGGGGCAUUCAUGCUUCUGGUAAUACGUUUGAUACUUUUUGUCGUGUUUACUACAGUUUUGACUAAUCAUUAUUACAUCAGCUGGUAAUUUCGUAUAUUCAGUAAUUGGUAUCACUAUAUGGUUUCUGGUUUCUUUAGACAAACUGUGAUGCUCCUGCCAUGUUGUACAUAGUCCCUCAUCAUCUGAACACCAGAUUAUGGGUGGUUUGGUGAUAUGACGGAGUUCACAAACACCACAAGUCUCAGUAGCUGUUGCCAUUUCACACACAUACUGCAAAUAACAAUAGCUGAUUUAAAAGUUUAAAACAACAGCACCUCUAUCAGCUCCCAACAUCAAACUUGGCAGCUUAAUUUAGUUCGCCUGUCGAAGAGAGUUGCCUGAGGCUAUCUGGUGUUCUACAUCAAUUUAAACAGGUUUCAUAAUAUAGCCAUGAUUACUGAAAAUGGAGUUAAUUAAUAUCAAUAAUCAAUCUAUCGAAAUAAUUCUCAUUUAUCUCAUUCCAGGUGUAAUACCACCAUUGAUUUUCCCCUAUUAGUCUUUGUUAAAUUUGCACUUUUCAAAAAAAUGUGCAGAAUUUAUCUAUGUUUCAAAUAAAGAAUUACUUGGCAUGAUUAAAGUUUUAUCCUGUCCAGUACUAUAGAAAAAAAUUCACAUAACAUUUCAUUGCAUAUAAGAAAAUAACCAUCAUUGGAAGUUAACCAAUCAAAUGUCUCCCCUUAUUUUAUCUGUGUACAAGGUUUAGUCACCAUGUAACCUCAAUUUUGAAAUACCCAAGACAUAUGUUUAUGACACAGAAAUGUUUUUACUGCAAUAAAAUGUAGAAUUAAUUACCUACAACUGUCAAAUUCAAGGGAAUUUUUUUAGACCUACUUUCGUAUACAACCGGAUGUGACGUACCAUGAUUUGGUGGUAUUACACCUCCACAGUUUUUGAUAUCCAAAAUGAAAUGAAUUUGAAUGAUUGGAGCUUGUGAAUAGUACAGGGUCAAAUAUUUAGAAUUAAUAAAACCGGGCCUUAAACUUUUAUAAAAGAUUAUGGAAAAUAUAUAGAUAAAGUUCCAUUUCCUUUACCUGCUAAAUGAAUGAUUUCGUAAACGUGUAUAUAUGUAGUUCCAAUUAUUGAUGGUACUAUAUAGAUCGAAUUUCGUGUACAAAUGAACAUAUUAUUAACGAAAAAAAUAACUUGUCCUAGAAUUGGGACAUAACAUACAUGAAGAUAAUUAUGGAUUAUGCCCAAGCCCAAAACGAAAGUAAAAUAAAUCAUUCUACAAAUUUCACGUGUUUAAGUCAUUAGUUUAUUAGGAAGAAUUGAAAACAUAACAAAAGAAAGAAUUUAUCGUGGACUUAACAAAUAAAUCAUAAACAUUACCUUUUUUCUUUGAAAUAUGCAUUCCCCGUAUUAUUGUCGUUUUUUUUGUGUUGGUAUAUCAAACUUAAAAUUUUAUCCUAGACAUUUAUAACAAAUGGUUACAAAUCAAGAAAAAAGUCAACAUGAUUGAAAUCAUCAGUUGACCACUUGCUAUUUGAGUGUUUGUCCUUCAAUGUCGAUAUCAAUCACAGUUUGGCAUAAAAAAAAAGUACAAACAAAGAAAAAUAUUUCAGAUCUACACAUGGACAAAAUGAUUAAAAAUAUUUAAGAGUAGCAAGAUGAUUAUUUCAACGAUUGCAUGGGAAACACGAUAUAACGUCUGAUUUUAAGGAUAUGCACUACGUUUACACUCCUUGAAUCCGCCACUGCAGUUAGAAAUAUAUUUUAGGUUUGAUUUUUCUCUGAUUUAAAGAUCUCAUGCUUGCAUUUUUUUCAGUAUUUGAAAAUACAUUGUCAUUUUCUUUUUUUGUGGAAAAAAAAACGUGUUUUUGUUUUUAAUUGAAUUGUGUCGUAAUAAUACUACUAUUUAUAGUUUUAUUGUUUUGGAGAACUGAUACCAAAUAAAGAUAUAUUUGAAAUUCUUAUAGUGAAAUAUAUGCCAGUUCCUUUAAAAUUAUUGGAGAUACUAAAAUUUCUCUCCUAUUUAGGUAUUUGAAUUUUCUCCUGAUAUUAUUAUAAUGAGGUGCGUAAAACUUGACAUUAUCAAAACCUCAAUCAAAAAACAGACUGGAUGAAGCUCAGGUGCAAACAAUCCUCAUAAAUAUUGUAAGUCACAUUUAUAGAAAACUACAAACCAAAAAUAAUGUUGACCUUCAUCCUGUAAACUUAUAAGGAAUAGUCUACACCUCGCAAGCUUAAAAUUUACCACUGAAGUAACUAUGUCACAUCAUGUCUUCUUCCAAACCAAUCAAGAAACCUUCUAUCAUGAAAAAUACUGAUCGCUAAAACAUGACAAUUGUCAACAAUUUAUUCUCUCAACUUAUCAACAAACAAAGUGAUAUAGACAAUCAUUUAUGCUUUUUAGGUACAGACUACAACUAAUAAUGAGACCUGUCGGCUCAAGCAUAUGCGUUUGAACUAACAUGUUGUAUUAUACAGUCAUUAUCAUUAAUUUUGUAAUUACUUAUAUUCAUUUAUAAUGAUUUUGUAAUUUAGUAUAACUUUUGUUAUUCUAUUGGCGAUUUAUAUAAGACGUCCUCGCCAUAUGUGCAUGUGCCUGUCCCAAUUAAGUUACUUUGUCAAUAGUUGUAUUUUGUCAUGAAAAAAUAUUUGUAUCUCGAAAAUUUGGUGCUGGAUGGUAGUUUAUUAAUAGUAGCGAUAAUCUCAGUGACCUACGUCAUUUGGUCUGUGGUGAGUAGUUGCCUCAUUUGCAAUCACACCACAUCUCGUUGUUUUAUUUCUAUAAAAUUUAUUUACUGACAACAUCGUUUCUGGUUUGUGAUGAUACUUGUGUUCUCAUUCCAUUAAAUGUAUUAAAAUACACAUGUUUAAUGAUAUAAUAGCAAUAACUAUAUAUAAUUUGUAAAUGAAUACGUUUAAAACACACACUACAUAUUAUAUUUCUGUCAGAAAGUAACUAAAUAGGUUUCAAAAUUCUAGAUAUUUUAAACACUGCUCAGAAUGACCUAAAGUUUAAGAAGUUUUAACUAUAAAUUUGUUUAAAUAACAUCAAACAAAUGAGCAUUGUAAUUGAAGUUUGCGAUAAUCAACUGGUUCGUUGGUUCGCUAUAAUGGAGUGAAACAGGAUGUCUUAGACCAUCAUCUGUUGUCAACACUUCUCUAUGUCGUUGUCCAUCAGGGGAGAUAACUACCACAUUGUUUGACGAGAACCCCACCACGUACACGUUGCCAUCAUUAUCCACAUCUAUACCUCAGGGAUUCUUUAGAACGCUUUUAUUUAAGAAUAUCCAUUGUAUUUUACCUUGUUGAUUAUAACAUGUUACAGUGCUUGUUUCUCUGUUUGUAUGAUAUAUUUUGUCCGUAACUGUUGCAGUGUAACAGUCACUGGGCAUUUUGUCUCGGACUAUGUCACUUAUCGACUCGUCGUUGAGGUCGAUCAUUCGUAUUCCUUUGUCGCAACCGGAAUAAAUCAAUUGAUUAUUGUUCAGUGCUAUACCAUAACUUUUGGAAUCUAGUGAAAUUGUUUUCUUGAUUUGUUUCUUCUCCAAGUCUAUAAUGGUAAUAAACGCCUUCACUGAACUACCAGAUGUGACAGCCAAUGCAUUCUCCUCUCUUAUGUACGCUACAUCAAACGCAUUACACGGCAAAAUCACUUCAAAAUCAUGUAAUCCUUCCAUGUUAAAUACAGUUACCUUACAAUCAUAGUAGUAAGUAAAGGCAAAUCUACCAUCCGACAGAAUGCAACAUCCAUAGGUGUGGAUUCCUUGAGUGUCGCAGGUCUUAUGUAGCGUCAGGUUUAUAUUUUCAAUGGAUCUUGAUUGAAUGGUCGGUACCAGCAUUUGGGCUUCUUUGGCCUUUUUCCUUAUCAAAACAAUAUCGCACGAUUUAGCCUCAAUACUCACUUUUCAAAAACUUAUGAUGUCGGAUAUGAUAUUUUGGAUAGAGGUGUUGAUCUUAUAUGAAAGAAAAGUUUGUUUGAAAUUCUUGCUUUCUUCAAUCGACUGCAGAAAUUGAUUUUUGUUAUAGACGUCCUUCUUUAUUUUUUUCAUUGAAAGAAACACUUGAAGACCUGUUGCAUGUUGCUUGAUGUUCAUAAUGUUUCUUUGGCAAUCUGCUAUUUCCUUUUCUUUCUGUUCUAGUGAUGACAAUAACAGAAGAGAAGAAUUUUUGGGUUUUCUUUUUCUUCUAUCGCAUAGAGUUCUUUCAUUAAAUCCUCUCGUAGUUUUAUUUAAGAUGGUUGUUGAUCUUACUUUUGGUCGUCUUUAUUUCUUUUUCUUUUUCCUUUCUACUAUAUUUAAAUGUCGUCAGAUUAACCUGUUGAUGCUGACGAAUUUCCUGUAGAUUUUCUGCUACUUCAAAUAAUGUUUCCUCUAGCUCAUACAUGGCAUUGGAGGUUUUGACAUUGUGAAUGACGUCACCUAAUUCGACGAAAUCUUGGCAUUUUUUAUGACUUCCCACGAUACAUUUGCUACAGCAGGGGAAUUCAUGCUUCUGACAAUACAUUUUAUACUUUUUAUCGUGUUUGGAACAGUACUGAGUAAUUCUAAGUAUAUCAGCUGGUAUUUUCCGGUUUUCGGCUAUAUGAAUUACACUAUGGCUUUACGAUGCCUUAGACACGCUAUGAUGUUCCUUGCAUUCUGGAAAUAGUCCCUCGUCGCAUUCUGUACAUCAGACUAUUAAUGGUUUAGUGAUGUGACGUAGUUCACAAACACCACAGGUCUUAGCAGCUGUCGCCAUUAAACACAAACUACAAAUAACAAUAGCUUAUUUAAAAGAUAACAACAGUAUCAUCAGCAAACACCAACAUAAACAGAAAUAAUAGCUUAAUUUCGAUUUCUUGUCGAAUUGCGUUGAUUCUCUCCAGGCACUCCGUUUUCAUAUGUCAAUAAAAAGCUGGUUUCCAAUAUAGACAAGAUUCCUGAAAAUGACGUCUCAUACAAAUAAUUAACCAAUCAAUAGUAUAUUACAAAAUCGGAAUAAUUGUCAUUUAUAUCAUUCCACAUUCCGCAUGAACAGUUAUGAAAUCGCCCGAAAUGAAAGUAAAUUUAAACGAUUGCAGCGUAUGUAGCGUCCAGAGUCACGUAUUUUAAAUUGAUAACAUCGGUCAAUUAACUUUUUCAUAAGUGGAAAUAUAAUAUAUUAUAUAAAGGAAUUUAGAUUUGCCUUAAAGAUGAAGUUAACUUUCAAGGGGCUCAAAUACAGCGGUUUUUCGUUUGAGACAUAAUUAUUUAUUUGAUCGGUUAGCGGCUGAAACAUAAUCAAUUUUGAUUUUGGACCCAUUUUCAUUGACCAUCUGAUUGACAGUAUUGUUUAAGUAUGUUGAUAUAUUUAUUGUUUAUCAAUAAGAUAAAAAUAUAUAAUCAUAAACUGAUAACACCACCAAACUUAAUCGCAUGUUACAGUUCAAUUCAGCUUGACAACGAUAUUCAAACGAAUGUUGAUGAAGUAAAUGAAUGAAUGAAUGAAUUAUUUUUUUGAAUGAUUUUAUUCUCAUAAACUAGUACAUAGCUACAGAGAAAAUAACAGUUCAUAUAUAAUACAUAUUUUGUUUCGCAUGUGUGAAAAUAAAUAACAUUAUAAUAUUAUUACAGUUCCUCUAACCGGGAGGACAGACUUUCAAUGAUAUGUAUCGUAUAAAUCUAUACAAUUUUUCUAGUUCUACAAUAUUUUCAGAUGAGAAUACAUUUUUAAAUUUAAUAAUGUUAGCAUUUUGUUACUAUAAAUUGGUAAAUAUUUUUCUCUUUCAAUGUUAAAAAAAUUGCAUGACAAAAUGUAGUGAAAUUCAUCGCCAAUAUCUCUUGAACUGCAGAGAUGACAAGACCUUUCCGAUCUCGGAAUAGUUUGCCACCUUCCCGUCUCCACUGGCAAACGAUGAUUUGCGCAUCUAAAUUUACACAAAGUAUAUAAAAAAUCAAAAGGCAAAAUCGAUAAAUACUUUGUCUUGAAAAUUCUAUAACAUAAACUUUUUGAGGAUUGAUGUAAAUCUGCACACCACUCUUGUCGAAAUUGGUCUUUAAGCUGUUGUUUAAUACUUAAUUUUAUCCAUUUUUUGUCAAAUAAUCUUUGCAAUGCCACACAUUUGACAUGCCACUUUCAUCAGAUACUUUCUUAAUACAUAAUAUCCAUUUAUUACCAAUACCAUAAUUGUUGUAGUUAAUGCAUAAUAAUCUAUAAAGUAUACAUGAUAAUUUAUCUUAAUUCGCAUUAUCAAGAACGCGACACCAAAAGUUGAUCAUUCGUAGUUUAGCAUAUAAAGAAAUGGGGUAUUAAUUAAUAUUAAUAUUUAAAGUUUGCUUUUUUAAUUCAAUUUUCGAUUUCUAUCAUUAUUUCAGGAUAUAAAAAUACCAGAAGCUUUGCCGGGGAAAACCACGCGUAAUGUUUGCCAUGUAUCUCAAAACCUUUCUCAGUUAAGUAGCCGGUUGAAAAUGAUUAGCAAGUUAAAUACAUUAACAUUUAAAUUUUGUUUUGUUUACUAACAUCUUGAAAACUAGUAAAAUGUUUAUCGUCAAGAGAGAUUAUAUAAUAUUUGAACAAAAAGGAAGAGGCAAAGUCUAUAAAUGACAGUUAAUUAUUUGCUGUAUACAGUUUUAAGUCAAUAAUUGAAAAGUCAGAUGACUGCUUACAGAAGGUAUAAUAAUGAAAGCUACUAGACAUUUAACGGUUCUUUUUAAAUUUUGAUAUUGUUGCAAAAACUCAAGAGGAUACAGAAACUAACUUAAACAGACAGAGCGAUUAUAGAUAGCAAGAACAAACAGAUCUAUGAGAAAAUAAAAUGACAGAUAUCAUUAGUCAAAAUAGUACAAAUUUUUGCCCUUGAAAAAAAGAUUACCCUAUGUUUUUCUCUUUUUUUAGUGGGGGGGGGGGGAUGUAGAAACUGUUUGUAAAUGAUUUGAUUUGCUGAUUUAUGCCUACAAUCCUGAAAACUUUAGCAGAUAGAGAGAAACACUUAGGAAGCAAACAUAAUUAGCAAAGAAAUCGAAACCGUCAAUUGAUUCCUUGUUAGAAGUUCUAAACAUUGAUGAUGAUUAUCAAGUUUUUUAAGUGUUUCUUUUAUAAAAGAUAAAGAUAAACUGUGAGCAGCGAAAACAUGCAGCAAAUAAGGUCUACAGAUAGUUAUAAAGAGAGGUUUAAUCCAUGAUUUUCAACAUGAGGAAAUGCCUGUACGAAGUUAAAAAUAAGACAGUUGUUUCCAAUUCGUUUGAUGAUUUGAUCUUUUGAUUUUGCCAUUUGACAAAGGACUUUCCGUUUUGAAUUUUCGUUGGGGUUCGGUAGUUAUUCUCUUUCUCCCUAAAGGCCAGUCGACUCAUUCAAAACACAUGAAUGAAAAUUUUCAUGCAUAUUUGCAUUCUUUUUCCAUUUUUCAUGAAAACUAUACCAGUAAAAAAUUUACAUUAUAAAUGUUAAGAAAUUGUAAACAGAAAAAUGUAACAUGAGAAAAAGAAGAUAUAGAUGAAAGACAAUAUUACCAUAAUUGUUAACUAAGUCAAUAAAGAAGUAAUCGUCGGGAUGAAUGUGUAGCAGGUUCCACAGUUUUGGUGGGUUUCGUGUUGCUAAGUCUUUAGUUUCUACGAUUUUUUUUAAAUGUUACAACAUAUGCCGUUAGACUCAGCUUUAAAUACCAGAUAAGACACCCGAAAGAUAUCAAACGGACAUCAAAAUCAUCAGUUUUAAACAAACUGACAACGCUUAGGCGAAAAAAAAGAACAAACAACUGUACACAAAAUACAAGCUAAACAUUAAUGGCAUUCAUGCAUCGAACAAAUAAACAAUAUGAAAUAGGAUCGCAUAUUUUACAAAAAUAUGCACUAAGCGAUAUCUUGCAAAAAUAAACUGAAUUAAUACCACAGACACCAAAACCCCGAAAAACAGACGUAUUCUCUUGAAGAUGAACCUUACAUUUUUGUCCCUAUUUACAAUAGUGUUCAAGGUAUAAGACUAUUUGUACCUCAUUCAUGUUUUGUUUUCAGUAAAAACAGCCAUGAUUGCUUACCAACCGUUUACCAUUUAUGUCAAGUUUAGUUUAAAUUGAUUCAGGUGUUUCUGCGAUGAAAACCUUUCAAUCCCAAAUUCAAAUAAUGGUCAGAACAUGCAUUAUACUUACAAGUUCAGCCACAUAUAUAAGAGUAUAGGGCUUCAUGGUUUCGGAUUAGCAAGUUAUGUUAUUCCACUUGCUUACAGUAAUUGACUUGAUACGGUUUAGUGUUUUAUUGUAAUAUUUUUUACGUCUUGUAUAAUACAGCCGUUAUCGUUACUUUGUAAAUGUUUUUAUAAUUUUAAAUUGUUUUAUUUGCUAGUAAUUAUAAUAUUAGUCUCACCUAGCCACAUGUGCAUGUGCCUGUCCCAAAUAAGAAAGUUUGUCAGUGGUUGUAUUUCGUCAUGUCUAAUGUUUUUCUAUCUUUGUUAUUUGGUGCUGAUGGUAGUUUAUUGAUAGUAUCAAUAAUCCUACAAACUUAUAAAUGCUAACAACCACGUCAUUUGGUCUCUGGUUGAUAGUUGCCUAAUUUGUAUUAACACCAUAUCUCAUUGUUUUAUUUCUAUUAAAUUUUUCAAGUGGCAACAUCGUUUUUGAUUCGUGAUAAUACCAAUAUUCUCAUUCCAUCAAAGGAGUAGGUCCGGUAAGGGCCGAUUUUGGCCCCAAAUUUCAGUUUCAUCUAACGAGAUAUUUAGGACACUUUUUAAACACUUAAGUGUCUAUUUCAAUUGUUUCGAUUAGUUUAUGUAAAAGAUUUUAACUGAUUCGGUCAUUAAAAACGCUCCGAUUGAAGCUUAAAUAUGAAAAAUCUAUCAAAUAUGCCAAAAAACGUCACUUUUCAGAUGGUUUUCGUCAAAAAUGAAAGUGGCCGCAUCCGUGUUUAUCCUCAACCUUUAUAUAUGUUAUGUAUUAUCAUCAAAUACAACUUACAUUUCAAUAUUAUGAAUGAACACGAAUGCGGCCACUUUCAUUUAAGACGGAAACCGUCUAAAAUUUAACUAAAAUGCUAUAAUUGUGAAGAUUUCAGUAAUUAAGCAUGACUUUAUGAUGCUACAUUUGUAGUACACGAUAUAUGUACAUUGUAUUGUCAAAAACAGCUCAUAUUUAUGUAGCAAAAGCAUUCUACUUUCCAAAAAAUAGCUAAAAGAUUACAUUUUCACAAUUUUGCAAAACUGCUUAAUUUUGGGGCCAAAAAGAGGUCUUACUGAACCUACUCCUUUAUUAGAAUACAUAUGUUUAAUAAUAUAACAACAAUACCUAUGUUUCAUCGGUGCUUGAAUAUGUUCAAAACACACUACAUAUUAUAUUCAGAUAGUAACAAAUCGGUUUUAAACUUCUAGGUAACAUACACACUGCACAGAAUUACGUAAAGAGAAGAUUUACAUGUAAACUUGUUUAAAUAACAUCAAACAACUGAGCCGUGUUACAGUAGUUUGUCACUAGCAACUGACUCUUUGCUCCACUAUAAUGCAGUGAAAAGGGAGAAUUUAGACCAUCACUUGCUGUCAAUACCUCUCUAUGUCGUUGUCCAUCAGGGGAGACAACUACAACAUUUUUCGAGUUGAACCCCACCACGUACACAUUACCAUCACUAUCUACAUCAAUGCCACGAGGACUCUUAAGAAUGUUCUUAUUUUGGAAUGUCCAUUGUAUUUCUCCUUGUAGAUUAUAACAUGUGACAGUUUCUGUUUCAUUGUUUGUAUGAUAUAUGUUAUCCCUAAAUGUUGCAGUGUAACAGCCACAUGGCAUGGUGUCCCGCACUAUUGUACAUAUCGAAUCGUCGUACAUAUUUAUCAUUCGUAUACCUUUCUUAUCGGAAUAAAUCAAUCGAUUAUCUUUCAGUGCUAUGCCAUAACUAUUUGAAUCUAGUGAAAUUGUUUUUGUGAUUUGUUUCUUCUCCAAGUCUAUAAUAGAAAUACACUUCUUCUUUGAACCACCAGAUGUGACAGCCAAUGUAUUGUCCUCACUGAUGUACACUAUAGCAAACGCGUUACACGGCAUCUUCACUUCAAAGUCUUUUAAUCCUUUCAUGUUAAACAUAAUAACCUUACAUUCAUAGAAGAAAGUAAACGCCAUUCUACCAUCCGGCAGCAUGCAACAUCCGAAGGUUACGCUUCUUUGAGUGUUGAUGGUCUUUUGGUAAGUUAACGUUAUAUUUUCAAUGGAUCUUGGUUUAACGGUUGGUACCAUCAUUUGGGCUUGCUUAGCAUUUUUCCUUUCCAGAACAAAAUUGAAACAUUUAGCUUCAAUACGUACUUCUCCAAAACUUCUGAUAAUGGAAAUGAUAUUCUGGAUAUAGGUGUUGAUCUUAUAUGAAAGAAUAGUGUUCUUAAAAUUUUUGCCUUCUUUAAGCGACUGCAGGGAUUUAUUUUUGCGAAGGACGUCCUCUUCUAUUUGCUUCAUGGAAAGAAAGACUUGAAGGUCCGUUGCGUGUUGCUUUAUGUUCACAAGGUUUCUCUGGCAUUCUGCUAUUUCUGUUUCCUUCUUUUCUAAUGAUGACAAUAACUGACAAAUUUUAGAGUUUUCUUUUUCUUCUUCCGCAUAGAGUUUUUUCAUUAAAUCCUCUUGUAGCUUGUCCAGAUGGUUGUUGAUCUUUGUUCUGAACGUCUUUAUUUCUGUUUCUAUACUCUUUC
rnacentral:lncRNA from 1 species